rnacentral:lncRNA from 1 species
UUUUUUUUUGGUUUAAGGACUGGACAAGUACACUUCUUUUUUUUGCGAGGAGUACAAGUAUACUUCUAACUGAGUUGUAACAGUUGGUGUGCAGCUCCGUAAAAAGUUCUCCUUUUUUGUGAGGUAUAAAAGUACUCCUAUUUAAAACAGGACUGAUUUGCAAAAAACAAAACUCUACAUGAUUAUGAAUUUAUUUGCUUACCCCUUUUUUAUUCUAAGUUGAUUUAUUUUUCAAUCGUAACCAAAUUUGUAUAAAUAAAUUAAACUCAAAAAACGGAAUAAGCAAAUAGUAAGCUUUGUAGUGUAACAAAAGGUAUAAUUGGAGGGGUGUUCAAAAAAAAGUAUGAUUGGAUGGACUUAAUUCACUAUCGUGGAAAUAAGUUAAAAUCAACAGCAAGGCUGUGAAGGAAAGAAAUAUAUUCACUUUCAUGGAACGAAUCCAUGAAAAUUGCCAACAAAUUGGCAAUUGCAUUUAAAUCCAUGGCAUCGCCAACUGUUUGUAAUUUGCACGUGCAUUUUACUAGUUGUAGUAGUCUAUCUAGCAACCAACUGACUAAACAUCAUGAUGUGUCUAGUUACAUGUUACACUGUAAUCUUUGUACCUUCGUGUUAAGGCAGACUUUGUGUUAACACAUCCACAUUGGUGGCAUUGUGCAUACACGACUUCAGUUCUUCUUUAGACAAUCGCCCAGCAUCAUCCGGGUAAUAUGUCGUGGUUCUUCAUACUUGAACAGGUGGUGGGCGCACUCUAAUAGCAGCUGAACCCGCCUCUAUAGUUAGGUCUUCAAAGUUUGCAUGCCCGUGAUACCUUCACCAUUCAGGUGCUUCACCUCAGUCACUAGGAGUCCGACCUCCUCAGACAACUAGGGUACGACCUGUCAAAAGAACAUUUUCCGCAUCACCAUCAUAGACCGCGGCACACCAGCUACCAUGCCAGCCACAUGGCCAUGGCAGCGAGCCAACACCUAAGAGGGGAACCAACUCCACGGUCGUGACUAUUUUAAGGUCCUCGACCAGAUCCGAGGGUAAGCAAAGGGUUCAACCGCCAGAUUCUGUCCAUUGGAUUUUAGAUCUUGAUGGUAGGUAGGGGCUCCAAAGCGCUCAUGUGCUUCAGCUGAUCCGAAGUCUUGGGUCUCCGGCGUGGAGACACGCGGGAACGAUUUUGAUCGUCAGAUGAGGCUUCCAUCGAACCUUGGCGAUCACGCGGCGGGGUCUGUAUGGGCCACCAAUGUCGGUGCUAAAAUUGACGGAUCUCGGGUAGGGGGUCCCAAGUUGGUGAUCUUAGAAUGAUGGUAACAUGAUUGAUAGGGACACGGUAUUUACGCGGGUUCGGGCCCUCUCAAAGAGGUAAAACCUACGUCCUGCCUUGUUUAUAUUGAUUGUGGAUGGGAUACAGAGUACAAUAUAAAUCAUGGUCCAUCCGUGAGCUCUUCUCGCCUCCCCCCGAAGCUUCCAAGGUGUCUUCUGGUCCAAGAAAAAUCGUCAAAAAGUUUCGUUCCGGUUGGACUCUGUUUGGUAUUGAUUUUUUGUAGAAGACAAAAACAAGGAAAAAACAACAACUGACACUGGGCACUAGGUUAAUAGGUUAAUCCCAAAAAUGAUAUAAAAUAACAUAAAAAUGCAUAUAAAACAUUCAAGAUGAAUAAUAUAAUAGCAUGGAACAAUAAAAAAUUAUAGAUACGCUGGAGACGUAUCACAAUCAUAGGAGAAAUGAAGCAUAUGUAUGAUUCAAGCUAAGCCGCCGCUGGCAAAGAAAGAAAAACUAAAAAAUUGGUGAGUAAUAAUGCAAUGAAAAUAGAAAUGGAAAAGGAGACAACAUCUUUUGUUGAAAGAUGUAUAAAAGCUUGAAAGUGCGUUAUAUCGGCUAGAGGGGGUGAAUAGGCGAUUUUUACAAAUUCGUCACCGAGGAAUUUCACAGAGAGGAAAUUCCUAAGUCACGAACAACUAGCAGCGGAAUAAGUACUCAGAAGUAAACAAAACAGAGCAGAAGCACAGACAUCAUGAUGAAAUGAAAACAAGCACAGAGUACAAGUAGCGUAAACACAGGAUAAGCAGGCUGAAGACAAACUGACUGAAGAAAUUGAACUGAGGAAAUUGAGAAAGUCUUCAGUCAAAGUCUUCGAACAGUAACGAUCAGGUACAACAACACAGAAUGAGGAAAUUGGAAGGGUUGAGGAGAUAGAACCAGUUAGCUCGGUGAAGAUAGUGAUUUGGUAGACCAGUUCCAACUGCUAUGACAGUCGUACGUCUGGUUGGAGCGGCUAGGUAUUUAAACUUGAGAACACACAGUCCCGAACACACAGUCCUCACCGUAUUAUCCUUGCUCUAAGGUCACACAGACCUCGCCCAAUCACUCGUGGUAAGUCUUCAGGUGACUUCCAAACCUUCACAAACUCGGUCACUCGGCGAUCCACAAUUUCCUCUUGGAUGCUCUAGACCAUGACGCCUAACCGUCUGGAAGAUGCACAGUCUUCAAAGGUAACAACCGUCGGAUCCACACAGGAACAAUCUCUUCAGUGAUGCUCAAUCACUUUGGGUUUGUAGGUAUUUGGGUUUGAGUUUUCCUCACUUGAUGAUUUUCGCUCAAAGUCCUCGGAGGAUGGGAUGCUCCCAAUGACAAGUGUCAGUUUCUCUCGGAGCAGCCAACCAGCUAGUGGUUGUAGGGGGCGGCUAUUUAUAGCCUACGGAGCAGCCCGGCAUGAUAAGGCAUAAAUGCCCUUCAAUGAUAUGACUGUUAGGUCAGUAGAUAUUUUGGGACAGCUAGCGCGUAGCACAACAGCGGUCGGAAAUUUGAGCUCUCAAAUUCCUCAGGGCUAUCAUGUUCCUCACUUGUAGGCAAUCCGCACUAGCGAAUUCCUAACUCCUCAGUCAGAACAAAUUUCUUAGAGACCAGAAGAUCUUCGUCUCUUUCACUGAAGAAAUUGACUGAACUGUAUGAGGUUUCCAAUGGCUUCACUCAAAGGGAUUGGUAGGUGUAUAGGAUUUUGAGAUGAGCAUCACUUGGAAACUUUUUCUUAGUUUUUCCUCGACCCCCUUUAACAGUAUGGUGUUUCCUAUGACUCAAGAAAGAGAAAACGAAACUACGAAAACAAAAGUCUUCACGCUUCAUGUUCCUCGCACGAAUAUCAAGUCUUCACGGUCACACCAAUUUCUUCACUUUCACAGUCUUCAGAAAGCCAAAGUCUUUAGUUGAAGACAUUCAUUUUUAGGGGUCGACUUUCACUGUAAAUAUCAAACUCCUCAUAGACCUAUAGACAUGUGUAUACUCACAAACACAUUAGUCCCUUAACCUAUAAGUCUUCAAUACUCCAAAAUCACUAAGGGGCACUAGAUGCACUUACAAAGCUACGGACACAGUGUCUUGUCAUAUUGAUUGAUGUUUUACUGUUCACAUUAUGUCAUCUUGAUUAUUGCGGCGCUCUGUUCCUUGCAAACCUAAUACCCCGAGAUGCAUGCUGGAUAGCGGUUUUGGGGUGGACUAUUAGUAGUAGAUGCAGUUGGAAGAACGGUCUUCUUAUCACGGUCGUAAUGCCUAUAUGAGAUUAUAGUAUGAAUGAUCAUACUCAUAAAUAUAAAUAUUGCAAUUCAAUCGCUGCUCAACUGUAAUUUAUUUACCAUACUACUUGCUUGUUUCGAGAGACAUGCCACUAGUGAACCUAUGGUCCCCAGUCUAUUCUCCAUUACUAAAAUCUUCAUCACAAUUGCUACUUAUACUUUGUCGUGUCACAUUUCUAUCAAUCGAUUCAAAGGAGAAGAGAAAGGACUUAUUGAACUAGCUUCCAAGAUCGACGACCAAAGAUGGAGCAGCUCGAAAGAACCGGGGAGUAUCCUCGACUUGAAGACCGGUUCAGGGGCUACUGACGGUGUCUUGGAUUAGGGGUGCUCACCACAUCAUCUCCCGGCUAGGAGGGCUGGGCCGAGGACCCUAAGAUGAUUCAGUAGUGGGCCUAACUCGUCGACCCAGGAGCGCUAGGAAGGGAUGUUUCCAAAGACUUGGCACCUACUCCAAGAUUUAGAGGUCGUCUACAUCAUGAUUACCUUAAUUAUAUGUAACCAACCUAUGUGUAAACCCUACACACCCCUAGUAUCUAUACAAGCCAAGGGGCAAGAUUCAUAGAUGACACACAAGGAUCUCACGGUAGAUCAACCUGUAAUCUCUACUGCGUCAAACAAUACAAUCAAAGCAAGACGUAGGGUAUUAUCUCUUUGAGAGGGCCCGGACCUGCGUAAAUCCCUAUCUUCUGUUAACAUCGCAUGGAAGCUACCUUCUCGGGAUCCCCUACCCGAGAUCUGCUGGAUCUGACUCCAUCAACCUCCUCGUCCCACUCGCCGCUGCCGCAUCCACUGGUGCCCCACCGCCGACAUUGGUUCCGCUUCUUGCCGUCGACGAUGUAAAUAGCGGCCCGCACCCUACCCAGGGUCGUCGCCGCCCAUCGGCACACUGUCUCCACCUCCGCGGUCACCGUCGAAAGACGUGGGGUUCACCAGCCUUGCUGCCUGGAGGGCCAAGGACGGUCCCUUCACCAGCCGAGACUCGUCCAUGCCCGCCCACAAGAUGUUCGACCAUUUGCCCGGCCGAGACUCGUCCACGCCCACUGUUGUCUAGUAAGGUACAAAUUCACAUCACUCGAAAGGAUCAUGGCGGAUACCUCGGACAAGUUCUUUUUUUUUACAAUAACUUCAUAUGUUCAUCAUUGUCUGAAGAAUAGUCUGGUGAUGAUUGUGAUGUUGUGGUUGCUACACUUCUCAUGGAUGAACACAUUGCAAAGCGGCGUCCAUUGUUCAGUGGAUCGAUACCGGGCCAAGUUCCUGGGUUGACUCAUAAUAGAGAAAACGUCCAUGCCCUACUCUUCAAUGAUUAUUUCCAUCAGACAAAACAACUAUUCCCUACCAAGCUUUUUCGGCGAUGCUUAUGGAUGGGGAGACCAUUGUACAAUCGUAUUUGGCAGGGAGUGAUGGGUUAUGAUUAUUACUUCAAUUGCAAGUAUGAUGCCCUUGGAAGGGUUGGCUUGACCUCUUAUCGAAAAUGCACUGUAGUUGUUUCGAUGCUUGCAUACGGAGUUCCCGAUGAUCUAGUUGAUGAGUACGUAAGCAUGCGUGAUUCCACAUGCCUUGAGUCAUUGUACAUGUUUAUGAUUAGAGUGUUUGGCCUAGAGUACUUGAGAGAACCAAAUGUUGAGUAUACAACCCGAUUGUUAUUGAUCAAUGCUUCUAGAGGCUUUCCGGUGAUGCUUGGAAGCAUAAAGUGUAUGCACUGGGAGAGGAAGACUAUCCAUUUUCUUGGCAGGGGCAAUAUAAGCACUAGUAGAAAAAGGGGCUUUCGUUCGGGCCUAGCCAGCCCAUUAGUCCGGGUUCUGCCACGAACCGGGACCAAUGGAGGCAUGUGUCCCGGUUCGUGAGCCCAGGGGGCCGGCCGGGCCUCGUGGGCAUUGGUCCCGGUUCGUCUGGGCCCAUUUGUCUCGGCUCUUGGCACGAACCGGGACCAAUGAGCCUCGCUCCUGGCCCACAACCAUUGGUCCCGGUUCGUGGAAGGAACCGGGAUAGAAGGGUGGCCUUUAAUCCCGGUUCCAGCCACGAACCGGGACAAAUGAGUUGCCUAUAUAUACCCCAUUGCCUGCGAGCAGAGCACUCCACAGUGCUCUGUUUUUUGCUGGCCGGCGAGGAAGGGCAUUUGGGUGCUCUAGCUCACCUCUUAUGCAUGUGAGGUGUUCGAUGAAAUGCCCAAGCCACACUAGUUAAGCUUUCUCCUCUCGAAGCUCAACCUCCGAGCUCCAUUUUUUCUGAGAUUUGUCUAGGUUUAGCGGUCCGUCACGCCCCGUCCUCGUCUUCACCGUCGUCGAUCGCCCGCGCCGAUCUCGUCGCCGGCACCACCGUGGUGAGCCUCUUGUUCUUAUCUUCUUUCUGAAAGAAAAAAAUCUUACUUUAGAUAGAUACUUGUCUAAUUUUCUUGCUUUUGACACACAUAAUUAUAUAUAAUGCACGCAGAUGAACCGGCAAUGGAUGUACGGUGACAGACACACCUCUGAGUACAUUAAGGGCGUGCAUAAUUUCUCGAAGUGGCUGAGGAAAACAAGCAGAAUGGUUUUAUGUGUUGUCCAUGCCCUAAUUAUGGGAAUACGAGGUCUUACUCUGACAAGAAAAUCCUUCACACCCACCUGCUUUAUAAGGGUUUCAUGCCACACUAUAAUGUUUGGACGAAGCACGGAGAAAUAGGGGUUAUGAUGGAAGACAUCGAAGAAGAAGAGGACGAUGACAACUAUGUGCCCCCUGAAUACGGUGAUGCUGCAACGGGGGAAGUUGAAGAUCAAGAGGAAGCUGAAGAUCCAGAGGAACCAGACGAUGUGCACGAUGAUGAUCUCCGCCGGGUCAUUGUUGAUGCAAGGGAAAAGUGCGAAAGUGAAAAGGAGAAGCUGAAGUUCGAUCGCAUGUUAGAGGAUCACAAAAAAGGGUUGUACCCCAAUUGCGAAGAUGGCAACACAAAGCUCGGUACCGUACUGGAAUUGCUGCAGUGGAAGGCAGAGAAUGCUGUGGCUGACAAAGGAUUUGAGAAGCUACUGAAAAUAUUGAAGAAGAAGCUUCCGAAGGAUAACGAAUUGCCCGACAGUACGUACGCAGCAAAGAAGGUCGUAUGCCCUCUAGGAUUGGAGGUGGAGAAGAUACAUGCAUGCCCUAAUGACUGCAUCCUCUACCGCAGUGCGUACAAGGAUUUGAACGCAUGCCCGGUAUGCGGUGCAUUGCGGUAUAAGAUCAGACGAGAUGACCCUGGUGAUGUUGAGGGCGAGCCCCGCAGGAAGAGGGUUCCUGCGAAGGUGAUGUGGUAUGCUCCUAUAAUACCACGGUUGAAACGACUGUUUAGAAACAAAGAGCAUGCCAAGUUGAUGCGAUGGCACAGUGAGGACAGUAAGAAAGACGGGAAGUUGAGAGCACCCGCUGACGGGUCACAGUGGAGAAAAUCGAGAGAAAGUUCUUGGCUGAGUUUGCAAGUGACCCAAGGAACGUAUGGUUUGCUUUAAGCGCGGAUGGCAUUAAUCCUUUCGGGGAGCAGAGCAGCAAUCACAGCACCUGGCCCGUGACUCUAUGUAUGUAUGACCUUCCUCCUUGGAUGUGCAUGAAGCGGAAGUUCAUUAUGAUGCCAAUUCUCAUCCAAGGCCCUAAGCAACCCGGCAACGACAUUGAUGUGUACCUAAGGCCAUUAGUUGAAGAACUCUUACAGCUGUGGAAUGGAACAUGUGUACGUGCGUGGGAUGAGCACAUGGGGGAAGAUUUUGACCGAAAGGCGUUGCUUUUCGUGACCGUCAAUGAUUGGCCCGCUCUCAGUAACCUUUCAGGACAGACAAACAAGCGAUACCACGCAUGCACGCACUGUUUAGCUGACACCGAAAGUAUAUACCGGGACAGAUGCAGGAAGAAUGUGUACAUGGGCCAUCGUCGAUUUCUCCCGACCAACCAUCAAUGUCGAAAGAAAGGCAAGCAUUUCAAAGGCGAGGCAGAUCACUAGAAGAAGCCCGCCAUGCGUACCGGUGAUCACGUACUUGCUAUGGUCUCUAAUUUACACGUAAUAUUUGGAAAGGGUCCCGGCGGACUAGCUGUUCCGAAUGACGCCGAGGGACGCGCACCCAUGUGGAAGAAGAAAUCUAUAUUUUGGGACCUACCCUACUGGAAAGAGCUAGAGGUACGCUCUUCAAUCGACGUGAUGCACGUGACGAAGAACCUUUGCGUGAACCUGUUAGGCUUCUUGGGCGUGUAUGGGAAGACAAAAGAUACACCUGAGGCAUGGGAGGACCUGCAAUGUUUGCACGAAAAAUACGGCAUGCCUCCAAAGCAGUAUGAAGGUCCUGCCAGCUACGCUCUUACCAAAGAAGAGAAGGAAAUCUUUUUUGAAUGCCUGCACAGUAUGAAGGUCCUGACUGGCUUCUCGUCGAAUAUAAAGGGAAUAAUAAAUAUUCCAGAGAAAAAGUUCCAGAACCUAAAGUCUCAUGACUGCCACGUGAUUAUGACGCAACUGCUUCCGGUUGCAUUGAGGGGGCUUCUACCGGAAAACGUCCGAUUAGCCAUUGUGAAGCUAUGUGCAUUCCUCAAUGCAAUCUCUCAGAAGGUGAUCGAUCCAGAAAUCAUACCAAGGCUAAGGAGUGAUGUGGCGCAAUGUCUUGUCAGUUUCGAGCUGGUGUUCCCACCAUCCUUCUUCAAUAUCAUGACGCACGUCCUAGUUCAUCUAGUCGAUGAGAUUGUCAUUCUGGGUCCCGUAUUUCUACACAAUAUGUUCCCCUUUGAGAGGUUCAUGGGAUUCCUAAAGAAAUAUGCCCGUAACCGUACUAGGCCAGAAGGAAGCAAUGGGCCAUCAAACAGAGGAUGUCAUUGGGUUUUGUGUUGACUUCAUUCCUGGCCUUAAGAAGAUAGGUCUCCCUAAAUCGCGGUAUGAUGGGAGACUGACUGGAAAAGGCACGCUAGGAGCGGACUCAAUAAUAUGCAGGGACGGACAUUCUUGGUCUGAAGCACACUACACAAUUCUACAGAACUCUACCUUGGUGACCCGUAUGUCGAUGAACACAAGAAUAGUCUGCGCUCCAAACACCCGGAGCAGUGUGACGACUGGAUUACAUGUGAACACAUCAGGACUUUCAGCAGUUGGUUGGAAACACGUCUCAGAGGUGACACCACUGUUUGUGAUGAACUGUACUCGUUGUCCAGGGGACCAUCUUCGACUGUAUUGAAUUACAAAGGAUACGAGAUAAAUGGGAAUACAUUUUACACGAUCGCCCAAGAUCAAAAGAGCACCAACCAAAACAGCGGUGUCCGCUUUGAUGCAGCAACCGAGAGAGGAAAGGACACAUAUUAUGGUUACAUAAUGGACAUAUGGGAACUUGACUACGGACAUGAUUUUAAGGUCCCUUUGUUUAAGUGCAAAUGGGUCAAUCUGUCAGAAGGCGGGGUACAGGUAGACCCAUAGUACGGAAUGACAACAGUGGAUCUGAACAAUCUUGGGUACACUGACGAACCGUUCGUCCUAGCCAAUGAUGUGGCACAGGUUAUCUAUGUGAAGGACAUGUCUACCAAACCGAGAAAAAGAAAAGAUAAGGAAGCGAAAACAUCAUACGAUGAGCCAAAGCGCCACAUAGUUCUUUCAGGAAAAAGGGACAUCGUGGGAGUGGAGGGCAAGACAGACAUGUCUGAAGAUUAUGAAAAGUUUCAUGAAAUUCCUCCCUUCAAAGUCAAGGCUGGCCCAAGCAUCCUGAUAAACGAUGAAGAUUAUCCAUUGUUACGGCGCAAUAAGCAAAUGACACAAGCGAAGAAAAAGUGAAGACUUUCUCCCGCAACUAUUAUGAUGAUACCAUGCCAACUUUCAACCUUUUCAGAGUUCAUUUGUAGUGCUUUUCAAUUUCAGGGUCUUAUAGCUCAAAAUAAUCAGUAAAUGCAUGGAAAAUAACAAAUAUCAUAAAAUAAAAUAAAUAAGUAAUUAGAAACAGAAUAAAAUAAACUUUAAUAAAAUAUAUAAGUAGAAACAAAAUAAAAUAAACUUUAAUAACAUAAAUAAAAUUUAUGAAACUAAAAUUAUCAACGUAUUUUCUGUUCAAAACAUUAUAAGCAACCUCUAGUAUUAUUGAAACUAAAAUUAUAUAAAAUUGAUGCAACUAAAAUUAUCAAUGUUUUUUCUGUUCAAAAUCAUUUAAAGCAAAAAGAAUUUUCAUAAAGAACUUUUUUUAGAAACUUUAAUAGCAAAAAGAAUUAUCAUAAAAUAGAAUAAAUAAGUUAUUAGAAACAAAAUAAAAUAAAAUAAAUAAGUAUUUUGUUGUAAGUAGAAACAAAAUAAAAUAAAUAAAGCAAAAAAGAAAACAAAUAAACUGGGGAAAAAAGCAACCUACUGGGCCACCACGGCCUGAAUACGACUAGAAACCCACCCAUGGGCCAGGAUUCAGGCCCGUAGAAGGCCCAAUAUAGAUAGAGUAUGUUUAGGCCCGAAAGCCUACAUUUGAGAGGAGCUCGAGAGGGCAGCGGGAGUGGGGCUUAUAAACCACUCUCGAGCUCCCUCAACUAGUGAGGUGGGACUAAACUUUCGUGCCGCGAUGUGGGCAGCACAAGGCCUUUAGUCCCGGUUGGUGCCACCAACCGGUACUAAAGGCGUACAUUGGUACCGGCUCAUGCCAACAACCGGUACCAAUGCGCACCCUUUAGUCCCGGUUUGUGCCACCAACCGGGACCAAAGGCCUCUGCUUCCCGCCCUUUGGGCUGCUGAAAAGUGACCUUUGGUCCCGGUUGGCGGCUCCAACCGGGACUAAAGGGGUGCUUUGGUCCCGGUUGCUGCCACGAACCGGGACCAAAGGUCUGUCUAUAGAAGCCACACUUGUGAAAUUUUCGGUUCAGUUCUUCUUCCCACUGCCCCGACGUCGUCGCCGCGUGCUCCCCUGCCCCGACGCCGUCGCCGCGCGCCCCUGCCCCAACGCCGUCGCCGCACGCCGCCCCUGCCCCGACACCGUCGCCGUCGUCACCGCCCCGGUCCGUGACGCUCCGCGUGGUCACCGCACCGGUCCGCGCCGCCCCUGCCCCGACGCCGUCGUCGACGCCGCCCCCAGUGAGCCCUGGCCCCCGCGCCCCUGCCCCGCCGCCGCCGCCGUGGCCGCCGUAAAAAAUAUAUGAUUAGAUGAUUUUUUGUUCAUAGAUGUGAUUUUUUGUUCAUAUAUCAUAUGAUGUUUUUAUAUUGUUCAUAGAUGAUCGAUCAUAUUUGUUCAUAUGUAUGCAAGCGAAGUCGUUGUAGUUAGGGUUAGGGUCGUUGAGGAAAGAAAUUAAGGAAAGAAGAAAAGAGGAAGAAAAGAGGAAGAAGGAAGAAGAAGAAAAAUAAGAAGAGGACGAAGAAGAAGAAAAAAAGAGGAGAAGGAGAAGGAAUAUAGGAGAAGGAAAAAAAUAGAUUAAAAUCUAUUUUUUCUUCUUCUCCUCUAUUCCUUCUUCUUCUCCUUUUUUUUCUUCUUCUCCUCGGACAUGUGAUGAGGGGGGAGAGGAAAAGGGAAAAUAAGAAGAGGAAAAGGAGAAGAAGAAGGAGAAGAAGAGGAGAGGAAGAAGUGGAGAAAUAAAUAAGAAGAGGAAAAAAGAAGAAGAAAAAGAGGAGAAGAAGAAAGUAAUAGAGGAGAGCCUCUAUUCCUUUCUUCUNNNNNNNNNNNNNNNNNNNNNNNNNNNNNNNNNNNNNNNNNNNNNNNNNNNNNNNNNNNNNNNNNNNNNNNNNNNNNNNNNNNNNNNNNNNNNNNNNNNNNNNNNNNNNNNNNNNNNNNNNNNNNNNNNNNNNNNNNNNNNNNNNNNNNNNNNNNNNNNNNNNNNNNNNNNNNUAAGUGCUUAGUAGUUGAACUAGUUGAUUUAAUAAAACUACUUUAUUUUACUAUAUAUAGAAGUAGUUUAUUUUUUGUAAGUACUACUUUAUUUUAUAUAGUAAGUGCUUAAUUAGUAGUUGAACUAGUUGAUUUAAUAAAACUACUUUAUUUUACUAUAGAAGUAGUUUAUUUUUAGCAAGAAAAUUAAUAGAACUAGUUUACUUUUAGUUCAAGCAAUUAUUCCCGCAUCGACAUCGACGAUGCCUAUCCCGCAUCCUCGUCGUCGACUCGGCGGAGGAGGCCGGCUUGAUCAGAGGGGCCAUGUCCGGGACUGGGCUCCGCCGUGCUGGUAUUGGGAGGUGCUACCUUCCAAGGGCCGUAGGUUGGUGAGGAGCCAGCCCGUCGUUGACCCGAUCCUUGUUUGGUGGCGGUCGCGUGGGCCAGUGACGGUGCCUAGGCUUCCGGACACCGCGGAGGUGGUAAGUCACCAUGUCAGCGAGGAGGACGAGCACGUCUGUUGCUACAUGGUUGCAUUGGAGGGCAGGUUCGACAAUACCUAGCAGGUUCUUCAGGGAUCUCACUGGAGCUAUGAUCAUGUGAUGGUUCCUUCCCUUUGGGUGUCCACCGCCCGCGCCGAUACCCGUCGGGCGCUACGGUUCUAGCUGUACUAGCGAUGUUAUAUAUAUAUGUAUGAUAGUAUUCAAGGUGUAUUAGUGAUAAUAUUCGACGAUGUACGGACGGAAGAGAUGAUGUAGUUUUGCUUAUAAUUGAAUGCAUGCUAAUUUGAAUACUACUUUAUUUUACGAUUUGGUUUUGCUUAUUGAAUGCUCAAAUUGGAAAACUACUCCUACUUUGAAUGCUAAAAUUGGAGAGCACUAUGCAAGGAGUAUGCAUAUGAUUAGUUGAUAGCUUAUAGGGUUUUUGUUGUCGCAUAAAUCUAGGAGCCCCCCUCCAUCAUCCCCGCCGUCGUCCCCGUCACCGGCCCCCUCCGACCUCGAGGUGAGACCAGCCAAAUCCUUUUUUAGAAAGAUAAUUAAAGAUUCCUUUUAUGGGCAAAAAUAUCUAAUGUUUUAGAUUUUCCAAGAUAAUUAAACGAUAUUUCGGGUUGACUUUAAGUCUGUCAAGUCUCCACCAUAUAUGAGAGGACGAAGAAUCCCGACUGUUGUCGUGGGGUAGCUUCUCCUUCGUUCCCGUGUGCUAGACAAUUUGGUGUAAUGCACUCGGGAACGAAAGGAGGAGCUACCUUCACCGACGGUCACAAAUGUCAGAGAGGAAUCAGUGAGGGAGAGUUCCACCAUAUAUAUAUGAGAGGACGAAGAAUCCCGACUGUUGUAGUGGGGGUCGCUUCUCCUUCGUUCCCGUGUGCUAGACAUUUUGGUGUAAUGCACUCGGGGACAAAUGGAGGAGCGACCAUCACCAACAGCCGAAUGUAUACACCACGUGAGCUGAGAGUUUUCAAGAAAAGACUCGACAAACCAAUAGUCAAGCCGUGAUGAAUAAUAAUGAUCUAAUUUAGUUUUUGUAGUACAUAUAUUUAAUUGUACAAGUUUAAUCUUUGAAUUAUGAACGUAGGAAAUGUCGUCAUCGGACGACGAAAGUCUCCCGGGGGAGUGCGGCUGGUGCAUGACGAUCGACGUUUGUGCGACAGGCCUCACAUGGACGAUGAUUGGCGCUUCAGCAUUAAGCUCGAGGAGACCUUCGAUGUUGAAACGGUACGCAACGGCGACAAGUGUUUUUUCGUAAUUAAGCAUGACUUCAACUAUUUCAAUGUGUAAUUUUCAUCUUUUACAAUUCGAGUAUAGCUUAUCCCAUGCCAUGCAAGACGCUAUGUCUUGGAGAGGAUGGAUUUUGAAGACCAUGAAAAUUUUGAAACGAAGAAAAUUCACCUAAGGACCCAUCAUGAUGUGGAUUUUGAAGUAAAUCUGUAUAAUGCUGAGAGCGUAACCCAUUUUGGUUGCAAAAAUUGGGAAGCAUUUUGCAAGAUGUAUGGUUUUGAUGAGGGUAUACUUGUCACCAUGGAUCUUGGUGAUCCUGACAUUGACCAAGACAAUAUGGACAUUUGGGUCCUUGUUGAUAAGCCUCCAGUUCUACCGCUAUGUGAGUUUCUCAAACAUAGUUAAUUAUUAACUAAUUUAUAUUGUUUAUUUCAAAAUAGUUGACAGCUUAUUUCCAUUGAUAGCUUAUUUUGACUGUUCAAACAAUGUGCGGAACAUGGUAGACAAAACUCACUACACCGAUGGCUCCGAGUUAACUUAUCAGGAGAAAAAUCAUCUGGUCUGAUUUUGUACUGAUCUUGAGAAUUACAAUAUCUACAAUCAAACUCCUCAACAUUAUGGUCAAUACGUGCCAGUAGUGCAUGUGUUGAACUACGGUAACUACCAUGGAGAUACCCUGGUAAGAUUUUUUACUAUUACGACAUCCGUGCAUCUUUUGCAUACUUCUAAAACUAGUACAUCAUUGCUAACUAUGAAGUUAUUACUCCCUCUGUUCCUAAAUGUAAGUAUUUUUAGAGAUUCCACUGCAAACUACAUACGGAUGUAUAUAGACAUAUUUUAGAGCGUAGAUUCACUCAUUUUGCUCCGUAUGUAGUCAAUAGUGGAAUCUCUAAAAAGACUUAUAUUUAGGAACAGAGGGAGUACUAUGUUUUUCAACAGAGAAUCCCAGAGGAUUGUGUGCCUCAUUUGAUGUAUCAGAAUGGCAGCCUUCGUGUUUCGAACAUAUAUCCAGGUCAUCCUACGAAUCUCAACUGUCCAUACCGGAUUUCUAAAAGAAGUGGAGACAUGCUAAUCAGAGAAUGGAAAAAAUGUAUGGACAGUCGUAAGGAGGUUCUUGGAAGCAAAAGGAAGCGCCGCGCAAGAAUUAGAGACAGGAUGAUCUCCAUUCUCCAUAAUGGAGAGUCAGGGUCUAUAUUGUUUUAUGCUAUUUUACCUUAAAUAGGGUAUUUAGGUCCUGCAGAAUACUGAUGAUCAUGUGCUAAGAACAAUUAAGUAGGGUUGGUUCGAUGACUAUCAGGAUGAUGAUCGUAUGACUUGUUAUUAAUAACGAGUAGAGGUUGUAUGAUGAUGAUUAGUAGGACUUGUUAUUAUGAUGAUGCAUGAUGCGAGCAUGAAGAGUUAUUAUAUAUCUGUGGGUGAAAUGAACAUGGAUUGGAUUAAAGUGAAGGCAACAUGCAUGUGGUGCAUGUCGAAAGUAGUACAAUCCAAACUUGAUCAAGUUAGGAUUAGUAUUACUUUCGACAUGCACCACAUGUUGCCUCACUUCAAUCUAAGUCAUCUUUAGGCAUAGCAGUAGUAGUAGCACGGAGAUAAGAGAGGACACAUCUCUCUAUUAGCUACCUAUAACAACCUAAAUUAACCCCCAAAACCCCUAAACCACCUCCUUUCAAAAAAAACCAGCCCCUGAAAUGCUGACGCGUGGAAGCUUAUUGGUCCCGGUUGGUGCUACCAACCGGGACCAAAGGCCCUCCUGCCUGGGCUCGCCGGAGCAGCCACGUGGAGGCCCAUCUGUCCCGGUUGGUAUAAGAACCGGGACUAAAGGCCUAGGGCAUUAGUAACGACCCUUUAGUCCCGGUUCCCCAACCGGGACAGAUGGGCCUUAUGAACCGGGACAAAUGGCCCUUUUCUACUAGUGAAGGGACAUGUUGAUGGUUGCACUCAUGUUCAUACUUGAAGUUGCGGCAUUACAAGAUCACUGGAUUUGGCACUCAUUUUUUUGGCAUGGCAGUUUCUCACAAUCACAUCAACGUGCUUCACCGCUCAAUGGUGUUCCCGAGGAUUUCGAAAGGCAAUUCCCCAGAGGUCAACUAUGAGAUCAAUGGCCACCAAUACAACAAGGGAUACUACCUAGCUGACGGUAUCUAUCCUUCGCCGGCCCGUCCUGCUGCCGGGCGCGAGACGAGCUCGAUCCUGCUGCCGGGCGUGAGACGAGCGAUGGAACGCAACUGUGAGAGGGCCAACCCUUCGAUGAAGGUAGCGCCCGAACGACGAUGAGAGGAAUCGAAGGUCGACAAGGGCACUCACCGACCGACCGACGCCGAAGAAGUCCAGCCACCGCCGUGAAACGACCCAGACCACCGCCAUGAGCCACCACCACGCCGUGGCAGCCCACAUCCACGCCGGGACCCCGAGGGGCAGCCUCGGGCCAUCCUGCAGCAGGAAUGCCACCACCCUCGCCGCCAAAGGUCGCCGCAUGCAAGGGCCGGCCGAAGCCCACACCGCCGCCACCAGCACGAACCACCACCACCCUUGCACCGCCACCCGCUGCCGCACCACCGGACGCUGGCAACUGCCGCCCAAGCCACAGCUGCCCCGCCGCCAGUACCGCCCGCCACCACCUCGUCAGGCCUGCACCGCCAUGCCAGAUCCGCGAUGGAUCUGCACCGCCAACAUGAGACCGCCGCCCACCUCGCAACCAGACCGAAGGCCAAGCCGCGACCCUGCUGCAGCGACCCAUGACGGGCCGCCACCACCUCCCCGCACCGCCCGCAGAUCCCCAACCACCCGAGCCGCCACCACACCAGAUCUGCAGGGCACGCCGCCGCCACACAGCCUCCACAACCGCGCACCCAACCGCGUCGUCGACCCGGCCACGCGCCCCGUCGUCGCUGAGUCCUGGCCGGGCCGCCACGUCCCUCGCUGUGCGCCCCGGCAGAGGAGGAAGAAGGCCCCGCCACCGUCCACCACAAGGGGCUUUGCCCCUAGCAGUGCCUGCCAGCGGCAGGAGGAGAGCCGGGGGCGGUGGAUCCACCCAAGCUGCCCGCGGGGGAUGACGCGGGGGAGAGUUGGGCCGAAUGGCCUCUUCCAGGCCAUUAGCACCCACUUGACAAACAACUAUGCAUGUUCUACUCGCCAAUGAUUCAACAACAUAUUAACAGAAAAGACACAUCUGUGCCGACAAUGUUUAAGAUACCAGGGCGAUGAAAUUGCGGGACAGGACAGACCCUGGUCGGAAAUUUGUAUACAGCUGAAAGCCUGAAACUGCAGCAACAUCUAUCUAGUGCGCAAAGCUUUGACCGAGGGGUGAGGGCGCAGCUUUGUCUCCAGAGGUCUUUCACCUGACCGUAGGAUAACCGUCGCCCGUUGAGGAUUGCAGUGGUUGAAGCUUCAGUUUCGUCAGACUUGAAUUUCCACUCUGAAAAUGAACCACCAUACACUACUGGAAUUAGCUUAUUUGCCGUCUGCAAGUUCUUUGUCGUCUGCUGGCUGACGGCAAAGAAGGUCUUUGCCGUCCGCUUCAGGAAAACGGACGGCAACAAACUGGCUGAUGGCAAAGAAGGUCUUUGCCAUCAGCCAAUUCUUUGCCGUCCGCUAGCGGACGACAAAGAGAGAGGUGGCCCCCGCUAACGAGCUGAUCAUAAAAAACUUAACGGGCCCCCUUCUUUGCCGUCUGCCAGAAAAAAAAGCGGAUGGCAAAGGUGGGGCGGACGGCAAAGAGCUAACCUAACUAACGGCCGAGCCCCACCCCGCCCCUCGAUCUCUCUGUUUCUGUCUCCACCCCGACAACCACCGCCACCCGCCGCCGCCCCCAGCACCCGCCGCCGCCCCCUUGCCCCGCCACCCGCCCAGCUGCCGCCCCCACCACCGCCCUCAGCACCUGCCGCCGCNNNNNNNNNNNNNNNNNNNNNNNNNNNNNNNNNNNNNNNNNNNNNNNNNNNNNNNNNNNNNNNNNNNNNNNNNNNNNNNNNNNNNNNNNNNNNNNNNNNNNNNNNNNNNNNNNNNNNNNNNNNNNNNNNNNNNNNNNNNNNNNNNNNNNNNNNNNNNNNNNNNNNNNNNNNNNNNNNNNNNNNNNNNNNNNNNNNNNNNNNNNNNNNNNNNNNNNNNNNNNNNNNNNNNNNNNNNNNNNNNNNNNNNNNNNNNNNNNNNNNNNNNNNNNNNNNNNNNNNNNNNNNNNNNNNNNNNNNNNNNNNNNNNNNNNNNNNNNNNNNNNNNNNNNNNNNNNNNNNNNNNNNNNNNNNNNNNNNNNNNNNNNNNNNNNNNNNNNNNNNNNNNNNNNNNNNNNNNNNNNNNNNNNNNNNNNNNNNNNNNNNNNNNNNNNNNNNNNNNNNNNNNNNNNNNNNNNNNNNNNNNNNNNNNNNNNNNNNNNNNNNNNNNNNNNNNNNNNNNNNNNNNNNNNNNNNNNNNNNNNNNNNNNNNNNNNNNNNNNNNNNNNNNNNNNNNNNNNNNNNNNNNNNNNNNNNNNNNNNNNNNNNNNNNNNNNNNNNNNNNNNNNNNNNNNNNNNNNNNNNNNNNNNNNNNNNNNNNNNNNNNNNNNNNNNNNNNNNNNNNNNNNNNNNNNNNNNNNNNNNNNNNNNNNNNNNNNNNNNNNNNNNNNNNNNNNNNNNNNNNNNNNNNNNNNNNNNNNNNNNNNNNNNNNNNNNNNNNNNNNNNNNNNNNNNNNNNNNNNNNNNNNNNNNNNNNNNNNNNNNNNNNNNNNNNNNNNNNNNNNNNNNNNNNNNNNNNNNNNNNNNNNNNNNNNNNNNNNNNNNNNNNNNNNNNNNNNNNNNNNNNNNNNNNNNNNNNNNNNNNNNNNNNNNNNNNNNNNNNNNNNNNNNNNNNNNNNNNNNNNNNNNNNNNNNNNNNNNNNNNNNNNNNNNNNNNNNNNNNNNNNNNNNNNNNNNNNNNNNNNNNNNNNNNNNNNNNNNNNNNNNNNNNNNNNNNNNNNNNNNNNNNNNNNNNNNNNNNNNNNNNNNNNNNNNNNNACCCCGACACGCCACCCCGACACCCCGGCACGACACCCCGACCCCCGACACCCUGACAUCAUAUAUUUUUCGAUUUUGUUAUGAGAAACAUCAUAUAUAAUUGUGUUGAUCGGGUAGAUUUAAACAUCAUAUAUAUAUUUUGAUUUUGUUAUGAAAAACAUCAUAUAUUAUUAUUCAUGUCGGUAUUUUUUUAUGUUGUACUAAUUUCGUUUACUCUUUGUCAUGGCAGGUGUUGAAGAUGGUGGGCGCUGGUCGGGAGCGCUCCGAGGCCCCUUCUUCGUCGGCGCGUGGUGGGAGGUCUUCCAUUCCACACGCACCUCUCUGCCGAGCGUUGCUGGACAAUAUGGCGACACCGCCGAGCCCUUCUUCCUCGACAGCGGUGCCCAACAGGGGACGAGGUAAGGGAGGGAAGAAGAGAGGAGCACGUGGUCACGGGAGAGGAGGUAGGGUGACUGCUAGGGCGCCUUCCUCGCCGCCACCCCCAGCUGUUUCACCCGAGCACGUGACUGCUAGGGUGGACUCGUUCGAGGAGGAGGCUACACGGACUCCGGUCCACGAGCCUUUGGCCCAUAAGCCUCGGGUCAACGGGCCUUCGGCCCACGAGACCCCGGAGGAGCACACGUCUGGAUGGGGUACCUGGCCGGAUGAGCCUGAGGGGCCGAGUGGCCAUGCUGAUGAUGGCGGGGAGCCGACUGAUAUUGAGGAGGAGGGGGGCACCGUCUACCAGCGUGGUUGUACACGGCUCCCGUCCGUGCCGGCGACCCGCGAGCAGAGGUGGUUGAUUUACCCUGAUGGGGAGAGGUAAGUGCAUUUAAUCUUUUUGUACCUUCUGCAUUCACGUUUCUUCAAAUAUCUAAUGUGUUGGCCUUGUCAUGCUGUAGGGGCUGGGACCACCAUCAUAGUGUCCGCCGGCUCAACUCCGUCCUUGGAGUGCUUUGCCGGCAAAACUUCCCGGGGUUUGUCACGUUGCCUGGUGAGGGUCGGCUUCCAGAGCUUGGAUUGAGCUGGGAGCACUACUUGGCUGCCCCGGCCCCGCCGGGUGAGAUUAUCGACGGUGUCUUGUGCGACACGAGGGCAGACGUGGUGAUCAGAAAGUUCUGGGUAAUUUCUCCUUUACACAUUUAAAAAUCUUCAACUAGUUAGUUAUUAAUUGUACUAAUCAAUAUUGUCUCAUUUGAUUGCAGACAUUCUACAGGUGUGAGGAGAGAUACGAGGAGGAGGCGGCAAAUGUUAUCGAGAACGUCUGCAAGCGCCUACUACAGAACUUACGGCACGAGGCUCGGGUGCAGGCUGUUCGAGACUACUACGCCUUGCAUGGUAUCAAGAAGCCCAAGCCGGCGUGCCGCGAUAAGUUCCUAAGUAAGGAGCAGUACAUGAAGGUAAUUCUUAAGGCCUUGUACUUACUUCCUUCAUUUAGUAAUUCAUAGCCGUAGCACUCAAGUUUCUAUUUGCUAACUUAGGCGCCUCCGAGAUGGUGUGCGGAUCGGAUGGAUUGUUGGGAGGUGUUGGUCAAUGAGUGGUGCUCAAAAGAAUGGCUAGCCGUCCACAAUGCGGCCAAGGACAAACGUGCCCAAAUGGAAGGUGUGCCACACCAUCAAGGCAGCUCCAACUUAUAUCAGUUCGGGCGAAACUGGGUAUGUGAUUUGCUUCAUGAUUCAUGCAAUUCAUUCAUCAUGCUAGCUUGAGCCCUUUAAUUACUAAUUUACUUUGUUUCUCUCUUUCAGGCACGCUACAAUAAGGCGGAUAAGGUGCCAGAGGUGUACGACCUGUAUGCCAUGGCCCACACUGCCUCUUUUAAGAAAGUCAAGGCAUUCUCUCCGUCUGACCUCGAUGAUGUUGGAAAUAUGCCCUAGAGGCAAUAAUAAAUUGGUUAUUAUUAUAUUUCCUUGUUCAUGAUAAUCGUUUAUUAUCCAUGCUAGAAUUGUAUUGAUAGGAAACUCAGAUACAUGUGUGGAUACAUAGACAACACCAUGUCCCUAGUAAGCCUCUAGUUGACUAGCUCGUUGAUCAAUAGAUGGUUACGGUUUCCUGACCAUGGACAUUGGAUGUCGUUGAUAACGGGAUCACAUCAUUAGGAGAAUGAUGUGAUGGACAAGACCCAAUCCUAAGCCUAGCACAAGAUCGUGUAGUUCGUUUGCUAAGAGCUUUUCUAAUGUCAAGUAUCAUUUCCUUAGACCAUGAGAUUGUGCAACUCCCGGAUACCGUAGGAAUGCUUUGGGUGUACCAAACGUCACAACGUAACUGGGUGGCUAUAAAGGUUCACUACAGGUAUCUCCGAAAGUGUCUGUUGGGUUGGCAUGAAUCGAGACUGGGAUUUGUCACUCCGUGUAAACGGAGAGGUAUCUCUGGGCCCACUCGGUAGGACAUCAUCAUUAUGUGCACAAUGUGACCAAGGAGUUGAUCACGGGAUGAUGUGUUACGGAACGAGUAAAGAGACUUGCUGGUAACGAGAUUGAACAAGGUAUCGGGAUACCGACGAUCGAAUCUCAGGCAAGUACUAUACCGAUAGACAAAGGGAAUUGUAUACGGGAUUGAUUGAAUCCUCGACAUCGUGGUUCAUCCGAUGAGAUCAUCGAGGAGCAUGUGGGAGCCAACAUGGGUAUCCAGAUCCCGCUGUUGGUUAUUGACCGGAGAGUCGUCUCGGUCAUGUCUGCAUGUCUCCCGAACCCGUAGGGUCUACACACUUAAGGUUCGGUGACGCUAGGGUUGUAGAGAUAUUAGUAUGCGGUAACCCGAAAGUUGUUCGGAGUCCCGGAUGAGAUCCCGGACGUCACGAGGAGUUCUGGAAUGGUCCAGAGGUAAAGAUUUAUAUAUGGGAAGUCUUAUUUUGGUCGCCGGAAAAGUUUCGCGCAUUAUCGGUAUUGUACUGGGAGUGCCGAAAGGGGUCCGGGGGUCCACCAGCCCCGGGGGGCCACAUGGGCUGUAGGGGUGUGCGCCUUGGCCUAUAUGGGCCAAGGGCACCAGCCCCAAGAGGCCCAUGCGCCAAGAGAUAAGGGAAAGGGAGAGUCCUAAAGGGGGAAGGCACCUCCGAGGUGCCUUGGGGAGGAUGGACUCCUCCCUGGCCACACCCUUCCUUGGAGGAAGGGCCAAGUCUGCGUCCCCCCCUCCCUUGGCCCUAUAUAUAGUGGGGGGAGGGAGGGCAGCAAUACCCAAGCCCUGGCACCUACCUCUCCCUCCCGUGACACAUCUCCCUCCUCCCGCAGCGCUUGGCGAAGCCCUGUUGGAAUCCCGCUACUUCCACCACCACGCCGUCGUGCUGCUGGAUCUCCAUCAACCUCUCCUCCCCCCUUGCUGUAUCAAGAAGGAGGAGACGUCGCUGCUCCGUACGUGUGUUGAACGCGGAGGUGCCGUCCGUUCGGCGCUAGGAUCAUCGGUGAUUUGGAUCACGACGAGUACAACUCCAUCAACCCCGUUCUCUUGAACGCUUCCGCUCGCGAUCUACAAGGGUAUGUAGAUGCACUCCUUCCCUCUCGUUGCUAGUAAACUCCAUAGAUUGAUCUUGGUGAUGCGUAGAAAAUUUUGAAUUUCUGCUACGUUCCCCGACAGAUGAUGCAAACAACUUCACCAACAUCUCCUCCCACGACAAGCUCGUGAAAUAUAGAGAUGAGGGGAAGGCGAGGAAAGGGGAGGCCUUUAACCCGAGCCAGGGUCCCAUUGAUCCAGAGCUGGUGAUGAUAUCUGGUGGCGGGAGGUCCCAUGGCUCCAUAGCCAUUGGAGAUGGACUUAUCCGUUGUCCUAGCACUCUCCCGGAGAUCAAGGCGCGCCAGUCGAGCUCCGCUCCUGAGAUAAGGCCUCGUGAACGGCCAGUCCAACUCGCCAUCAAGGUUAGUUAUACGUACUCAGCUAUCUUUCUCCAUUACAUUGUGUGUGCUUCCAUCAAUGAUUACAAAUGGUAACGAGGAGUGGUGUUGCAGGCUGCUAUACAGAGUGAGAGAGAUAGAACGGAGAAUCUUCUGGCGGAGGCGGUGGAGAGGCAGCGGGAGUUGGAGGAGAGGACGACAAAGAUGUUGGAGGAGGAGAGGGCACGGAAUGACAUGCAGGCAAGGGCCAUGUACGAGCUCCUUGUGGUAAGUUUCUUCUGCAGAUUAGCCAAAACAUUUAUGCAAUGUUUGUCUCAUUACUAACUAGUAUGACUGAGUCGUCAAAACCAAAUGUGCAGUCUGUGUGCGAGAAGACCGGUCAGACCGCUCCGCCGAUGCCAGUGAUUGCUCCUGGGACCACGGUGAGUUUAAUUUGAAUGGACAUUACUUGCUAGUCUUAACAUUUGAGUGUCAUCAUGCUAACGAGACAUUGGAAAUGAUCUUUGGUGCAGCGUAACUCCAGACAAGCAUCGCACGAUCCUUCUCCAGCUACCGGCACGAGCCAGCUCGCUCCUACACCUCCAUGAUCAUGGUAAGUUUCUCUAGUGUUUUGCUUAACAAAUGCAUAAAGACCUAGACUUAGCCUUAUUUCCUCCAAUAUGCUUACCACAAUGACCUAGACUUAGCAUAAUUAGCUUAGUUAGCUCAUAAACAAUCCAUUUUACCCAAGUUAGCUCUAAAAUGACCCAUUUUACCUUAGUUAGCUCAUAAAUGAUCAAUUUUACCCAAGUUAGCUCUAAAAUGACCCAUUUUACCUAGACUAGCUCCAAAAUAAUCCAUUUUACCUAUGUUAGCUCUAAAAUGACCCAUUUUACCUAGGUUAGCUCCAAAAUGACCCAUCUUACCUAGGUUAGCUCCAAAAUGAUGCAUUUUACCCAACUUAGCUCUAAAAUGACCCAUUUUACCUAGAUUAGCUCAUAAACGAUCCAUUUCACCUAGGUUAGCUCACAAACGAUCAAUUUCACCUAAAUUAGCUCAUAAAUGUCAUAUAUUCUUCUUCUUUUUCAUUUUCUUCUUCUUCUUCUUCUCCAAAAUGACAUAAGUUAGCUAUAAGUUAGCUCUAAUAUGCUUAGUUCACUCAAAGAUGGCAUAAUUAGCUAGGUUGGCUCCAUUUUACCUAAGUUGGCUCUAAUAUGCUAAGUUAUCUCUACUAUGCUUAGUUUCCUAUAGGUUAGCUCCAAAAUUACUUAUGUUAGCACAAAAUGACCAAGUUUACAUAAUAAGCUUAAUUAUAGUCUUCUUCUUCUUCUUCUUCUCCAAAAUGACAUAACUUAGCUCUAAUAUGCUUAGUUCACUCAAAGAUGGCAUAAUUAGCUAGGCUGGCUCUAUUUUACCUAAGUUGGCUCUAAUAUGCUAAGUUAUCUCUAAUAUGCUUAGUUUCCUAUAGGUUAACUCCAAAAUUACUUAUGUUAGCACAAAAUGACCAAGUUUAUAUAAUAAGCUUAAUUAUAGUCUUCUUCUUCUUCUUCUUCUUCUUCUUCUUCUAGUAUUCUUCUAGUCUUCUUCUAGUAUUCUUCUAGUCUUCUUCUUCUUCUUCUUCUUCUUCUUCUUCUUCUAGAUUAGCUCCAUUUUACUUAAGUAUGCUUACUUCUUAUAGUCUUUUUCUUCUUCUUUUUCUUCUUCUUUUUCUAACAUCUUGUUUAUCAUUUUGCAGAUUUGAUUUAAUUCACGAAAGCUUGCAUGGAUGGAGUGCUUCUUUUCCAUUUGUGCUUUUAUAGAUGGAGUGCUUGUUUGGAUGAACUAUGUUUCUUUUGUAUCGAUGAACUAUGCAUGUAUGGUAGGAUGACACUAUCGUAAUAUGUAUGGUUGGAUGCAUGUAUGUGGAACUUGCUAUGUAUGGUUGAUGGAACUAUGCAUGUAUGAUGAAAUUAUAUGUGUUGGAUAUCUCAUAUGUUUGCUGUGAACUUGCCAUGUGAAAAAUAUAUAUGUAUCAUCUAUUGCUGUGAAAAUGGUUGGGUAUAAGAAAAAACAGAAAAAAGAGGCAAUGCAGGCUCUUUGCCGUCUGCCACCGACGGCAACGGGCUCUUUGCCGUCCGCCGCGGACGGCAAAGAAGCCACGUGGCAACCACCUGUGCUUCCUGGCAGCUGACCCAUUUGGUCAGUUUGCCUACAGUGGCAGACAGCAAAGGCUUGACAUCAGCGGCGGACGGCAAAGGCUGCCGUUAGACGCCUAACGGACUAACAGCGAAUUUAUUGCCGUCGGCUUUCUUUGCCGUCCGCCGCUGAUGGCAAAGGCCCUUUGCCGUCCGCUUCAGAAAGCAGACGGCAAAGAAGCUCUUUACCGUAGCCUACUUUGCCGGAGCCUUUUGCCGUGCGCCAUCCUUGCCUUUGCCGUCUGCCGGAUGGCAAAGUAGCUGAUUCCUGUAGUGAUACCUGCAUCUUUGACUUUCUUAUGGGCGCAAAUGAGAUUGUGAGAACGACAACCACAACUCUGCUCAAAGACAACCAGCAAUGUAUUUCCCAAAACACCCUGAACUUGCUUUUACAGAUUAUUACAAUUCCUCUACUAACCUAGUACUGUAGACAUCAUUAACUCAACUAGUAAUAAUGUAUUCCCUCCGUCCCAUAAUAUAAGAACGUUUUUAACACUACACUGUCAAAAUCCCCAGCUCCUGAAUCACUGCUAUGAUUACCACGCCAUCCAAGUGCAGUAUAAGCAUCAGUCAUGCAAACCAUACCUGCUAGUUUACUGAAACUGAAAUUAUCAGGGAACUCGUGAACCAUCCCGACUUGCUUGCAUACUGCAGGUCAGGCUUCCAUUACCUACAAUACCGCAGCAUUUUCUAGGGAAGCAGUUACCCACAACUUGAACUCUUCUCUAGAGAAUUUUGGUUCAUGAGGCCUUUCAUUCAAAGCUUCCUAUACACUCACUUCCCUCUGGGAACGCAAGUAAAACACUGACCUUGUACAGCUAGGAAUCAACAAGUUCCUGGAGGACAGUCUGACUGACAACAAAUUACACCUGCCCAGAUUCUCUAAGGAUUCAUUCCAAAGCUUGCCCAGAUCUCUAGUGGCUAAGACAGUCUGUGCCACUUCCUACUCACUUCAUUCACUGCCACUCAAUGUAAAAUAUUUGGAGACCAUGACAUCUCUAAUGCAACCGAUACAGAGGAGCUAACCGCAGUUCCCUCCACAUUUUCUCAUCCGGGCUUGGGACCGGCAAAGGCAGUGUUAAACUACUCCUACUUACACACAAAAAACGGCAAACACUACAAACAAUUAUAUUCAGCUAAGCAUACAAGCCACGCAAUCAACAAAGGCUUGGCACGACACAUGAUUGGCAAUAAAUAUUCACGCAACAUUUUCACAAGAUCAUAAGACAGACGGGGCACAAACAAAGAAUGCCAUAAAUUCCAGAACCUGAAUGGGAGUAACUAAUUUAUCUAGUGGAAUGAGCGUGAUUCAAAUCUUCUGCACAGAGAAAGCUUUCGUAGUUUUAUGCCAUUAUAGGGUCAGAGGACCAUAAGAUGUGUGAACAGAUACUUCCGUGUCUUUAAAAUCUAUAUAGGAUUGUAUUAUGUAGUAUGAAACAGAAUGGGUCUGUCUAAGUUUCAAUUUAAGAAUAUGUAGUCGGCAGGAAUCAUCAAAUUAGUACUUUGCUAGUUACCAACUAAAUUAAAACUAGGAAGUUGCCAGAAAAGUAAGGACAUGUAAUUAAAGAGAAUUAUGUGGUUAGAAUCCAGAUCAAAUUAGCAGUUCGCCAGAAAAGAAGGUCAAUUAGCCAUUAGAGGACCAUAAGAUGCGUGAACGCUAUGAAAUUAUAGAUUCAUAUAUUUAACAAUAUGUAUGAAGAUUCCAUAAUCCAUAACAAAUUAGCUGUUCGGCGGAAAAGAAGGUCAAUAGCCAUUGAGGACCAUAAGAUGUGUGAACAUAUGAAAUUAUUAUAGAUUCAGUAAGUAUGUAAUGGAAGAUUUCAUAAUAUAGAUAAAAUUAGCCAUUGGAGGACCAUAGAGAUGUGUGAGCGCUGUUUCUUUAAAUCCAGGAUGAAUGAAGUAGGAAACAAAUUUCCAUAUGUCGAAAGUAAUCAGCAGGAUUCAUCAUCAAAUUAGCCAGAGUGUUUAGGGAUCAUCAAAUGCCAGACUGUUUUGCUAGGAAGUUCCCCAGCAAACCGAGAAGAUGCAUGGAAGAAUCCAGAUCUCACUGGAGAAGCACCAAUGAGAAGAACAUCACUGAAAAUCAACUCCAUACCAACAAAUCAGAAUCAUAUUCAGUGGACAUGAGUGGAGUGUUCAGGGCAAAAUAUUUGUUCAAGCCUCCAGUUCAGAACCUUCAACUCUCCAUUGUUUUAGUAUAUGUAUAUAGCAAUAACUCCUAACCUCUUCCUGUAUACCAAGUCAUCAAUAUUACCAAACUACAGGGGGCCACUACUGUUAAACCAACACAAGUGCGAGGGUGGGAUCUUUCUUUAUCACCAAAGUUAACAAUAUGUGCACACCAAAAUUUGAUUUUGUGCCAUAAGAAGAACCUAAAGAACGUAUAUAAACAAACCAAGUACAAUCAUGGACAAGAGUAUGUAGAAUAGUAGACUGACAAAUCCACGUAUGACCAAUUCACAUAUAUUCAUAUAAUAUGCUUAACAUUUUUACUGCAUUCAGAGCUCAUGUACAUGCGAUCUUUACUUCCUAUUAGGUGACAAAUUUGCAAGUUGAAAGAUACAAGCAGCCAAAUACCAAAACCAAACUUCAUGAAACAGUAUGGUAACCAGGUAAUUAAUAGCCAAGUCAAACUUUGAUAAUCUGCUAUACAAACUGAGUACGAACUGAUAUUUCCAUUUUGGACCCUUGUUUGAGACUUCUAGCAUUUUCUUGAUUCGAGCAAAAGAUAAGAUCAUAUUCCAUCCAAACCACAUGCAAGUUGAAUAAGAUACCGUAACCAGUAGGAUGGCACAACAGAAACCAAGUAAGAUGCUUCAGGACAGUUGAAAGAAUCAUCAGAUGUGCACACUACUAACUCCAAGCUGCACCAAAGAUAUGAGGCCACUGAAUGCAAGUUCAAACUGAAAACUACCACAAAGACCAAAUCAUUAUGCUUCAGGAUCAGUAAUCAGAGGUCAAAACCAUCAGGGAAGUCCAUUUGCUACACCAAGUCCCCGCGCUAACUGACUAUCCAACUCUACAAUCUUGCAAUAAAACCUCCAACAAUGCAAAUCAACCCAAAUAUAAUCAGCAUACUUAAAAGUUCUUCAAGGAAAGUCAGACCAUAGUGAAAUCUGGUAAAUAGUUGAAACAGGCAUAGAGUCCAGGUGUAAGUUUUUGUGGUUGAAGAAGAUUCCGAACGAAUCGAAGAACUUAAUGUAUAGCCACUCAAAUCUGACGUCACCAAGCACAGAUGAGGAAUCCAGUAAACCAAUGUGACGAAACAUGAAACUGACCUGCCUCGAGUCCCCUCCACCAUACGUUCACAACCCACAAGGAGCUUUACUUCCAGACCAGAUCAAGAUCCAGUCCUGCAAGCCAAAUUGUAGAGGCGGCGAUAACAAAUGAAACAAACAGACCGUCUACGAGACACUGACCUGACUCCAUGUACAGAGCAAAGGUUUGGGCCCAAACUCCUAAUAAAAAUUAUAUAUUGCCAACCCACACACGCAGAAGACCAAUAAAACAGGGAUCAAGAGUUUAGUCAUUGCCCACAUGGCCUGGGCUAAAGAAAAAUCUGCAACCAUAGGAAGGGCAGGGGCAAAAACCUAUGUCAGAGAGAUGGCCAAGUAACUAAAUGAAAUUAAAAAAAAGGAAGGUAAGAGUCUUUUUCGGUUGUAGGAUGUGCCAUUAGUAGGCUCUAGAUCAUCUUAUAUAUUCGUGCUGCAUAUGAAUCUGUAUUUAAAAAUUGUCUAGUAAGAUAAUUUAUAGGUUAUGUAAGUUGCAAUGAAUUGAAACGACACUGUAGAUUUCGAAGAUCAGUAGACGGAUUCAUCAUCAGGCUGGACAGGAGUUUGUCAACUACAACCUGCAGUGAGCAAGACACCGUUUCUAUAAAAAAAAUUGUUAGGGGAAAUGCUUCUUAUAAAUAGCUAAAGCAUGGAUGAUUGAGUGGGAACAAGUAAAGCCUGUCUAGGGUCAGGUAUGGAUGAUGGAGGACAACAACGCAGGUUCCAAACUGCAGUUAUAUCCUUUCCAAGUCAGUAUCUGCAAGAGCUGAUAAUUACUAAGGCAAAGAAAACCUAAUGUCUAGAGAGUUCAAUUAUAGAGUAAAAAAGGUUGAGAAAGUUUUUAGCCACAGAAGGAACCGCCAUGCCGAGGAAAAAUAGGACGCCUUCUAAGCCAUAUUAUUCCAAUUUCUGGAGAGCCACCAAGAAAUAGUUUAAAUCAGAAUUGUGGGAAACCAAAACAGAACAGUGGAGAUGAAAGAGUAAAACAGAGGAAGUGAUAAUUAUCCAAACACAGAGCAGCAAGAUGCGUCGCUCCCGCUACGCCAUAUAAUUCCAAUUUCUGGAGAACCACCAACAUAUCCAAAUAUAUCCUGCACAUAGGCCCAGACUUCCUAAAUAUAUCCUGCAACUGAUACACGCAGAAGACCAGGGAUCAAGAGUACAAACAACAAAUCGAUCCAGAGAGAGAGAGAUAGAUCGCAAACCAAACGAUUUUAACAGAUUCCAACUCACUACCAGCAUGGUUUGGGCUUAAUCUGCAACCAAAGGGAGGGCAGAAGGAAAAACCUAAAUCAAAGACAUGAACAAGUAGCAUAAGAGGUGAGUUAAAACUGGAGCACUCUUUUUCAUUGUAGGAUGUUCCAUUAGUUUGAAUCUCCAUUGUUGAACCUUGGCAGAUAAUUCUGAAUUCAAAAUAUUGUCUGGUAAGAUAAUUUUGAAGGCUGUCUAAGUUCUGAUGAAUUGAGAAAAUAAUAGAUUUAGAAGAACUGCAAACGGAUUCAAGUCAGCAUCAGGUUGGACGAGUCAUCAACUAUGGCCUGCAACGAGGGAGAUACCUUUCUAUAAGUUAUAAGAGGAAAACUAGGCUCAGCUAAAGCAAGCAUCAAAUGUUGAGGUAAAGGGUAAGUAAGCCUGUCUCGGCUGGAAAGUCAGGUAGACAACACUGGUUCCAAUUAUUUCGCUCCCAAGUCAGCAUCUGCAAGAGCUGAGAAUUACCAAUCAAGGCAAAGAAACUAACAUUUGAAAGUUCAAUUAUCAAGGGAGGAUAAAAGGUCGGAUAUGUUGGGCCACAGAAAGAACCGCCAUGCCUUGGAAAGAUAGGACCACCCGCUAAGCCAUAUAAUUCCAAUUUCUGGAGAACCAGCAAAAAUUCUAAAUCAGAAUCGUCGGGCAACUACUUGAGCUAUGGAGAAGAACUUAAACAGAGAGAGUAAUGAUCAUCCAAGUGCAGGUCAGCAAGAAGAUAGGUCGCUCCCGCUAAGCCAUAUAAUCCCAAUUUCUGGACAACCAGCAACAGAUCCAAAUCAGAAUUGUCGGAGACUAAAAUUGAAUUGAGAAGGAAUUAAAUAGAGGGGUUCGUAAUCAUCCAAAUGCAGAUCAGCAAGAAGAUAGGUUGCUCCUCCUAAACCUUACGAAGCCCAAUUUCUGAAAACCACAAACGAAUACAGAUCAGAACUGCCAGGACUAAAUUGUACUGCGCAAACCAAAUAAAUUGAAUCGGGACAGAAUUCAUUAUCCAAACGCUGAUCGCAAGUUCUAGGUUCCAAAACUUCAUUAUCCAACCAAUCAAAAUGAUGAACAGAAACCAAAUCUCCACCAAUUAACCUCAAUUUCUGGAAAACCACAAACGAAUACAGAUCAGAACUACCAAGGGCUAAGUUGUAUUGUGCAAACCAAAUAAAUUGAAUUGGGACGGAAUAUAUAUUAUCCAAACGCAGAUCACAAGUUCCAGGUUGGUAAGAGAUCCAAAGCUUCAUUAUCCAAUCAAUCAAAAUGACGAACAGAAACCAAAUCUCCCCUAUGAUUCAUCUGUGCAGAACUACUACACUCCUGCAUCUGCUGCAAGCAAAGGAGCACAAACACACACCAAAAACGCGAUCAGCUGCUACAAUAAGAAUCCACCAGGACCUCUCUAAUCCACCUCAUAUUAGCUGAUGAUGAAGAAACAUGUGAUGAGAACCAGGAGACCACACAGGCGAUAGCCAUUCAAACCUGACCUGCUCAAAUCCCCUUAACAUACAACACCACAGGGAUCUCCACAUUCCAGAUCCAAUCCUGCAACCAAUGUGUGGAGGAACAGAACUAAACCAAACAAACCGUUGAUAGAACACUGACCUGACUCACUGUACAGAGAUUUUGCUCAUAAGCACAAACUUCCUAAAUAUGGCCUGCAGCCGACAGGAUAAGAGUACAUAUAACAAAUCGAACCGCAUAGAGGUAGAUUGCAAACCAACCAAUUUUAACAGAUUUCGACUCGCUACCAAGUACCAACACGCUCUGGGCUAAAAUAAAUCUGCAAUCACAGGGGGGCAGAAGCAAAAAAGCCUAAAUCAAAGGCAUGAACAAGUAGCUACGUGAAAUAAAAAUAAGAGGCAAGAGUUAAAAAUGGAGAAGAGUCUUUCUGUUGUAGGAUGUGCCAUUAGUUUGAAGCUCCAUUCUUGCGCCUUUGCAGAUGAAUCUGAAUUUAAAAUAUUGCCUAGUGAGAAGAUCUUAAAGGUCAUCUAAGUAAUAAUGAAUUGAUUGGAUUUAGAAGAACUGCAAACAAAUUCAACUCCGCAUCAGGUUAGACUUUGCGUUUGUCAAACCUGCAACGCAUGCCGAGGCUCAGCUAAAGCAUGCUUCAAAUGAGGAGGUAAAAGUUAUAAGAAAGUCUUGUCUGGGAAGGUCAGGUAGACAGCACCGGUUCCAAUUAUAUCCCUUCCAAGACGAUGUCUGCAAGAGCUAAGAAUUGACAAACUAAGGCAGAGAAAACUUGUCUGGUGUGUUCUAAUAAUAAUUAUAUUAUUGAGUAAGAAAUACUGUUGAGCCACAGAAAAGGAACCGCCAUGCCGAGGGAAAAGAGGACCACUCGCUAAGCCGUAUAAUUCCAAUUUUCUGGAGUACGAGCAACAAAUCCAAAUCAGAAUUGUGUGGAGACUAAUUGAACCAUGGAGGAAAGGAAAUAAACAGAGAGAGAAUGAUCAUCCAAACACAGGUGAGGAAGAAUGACAAGUCGCUCCCAGUAAGCCGUAUAAUCCCAAUUUCUGGACAACCAUCAACAAAUCUAAAUCAGAAGCGACUAAGAUUGAACUGUGUAGAUGAAGGAAGUAAAUAGAGGGGGUAAUAAUAAUCAUCCAAACGCAGAUGUUGCUCCCGCUAUGCCGUGUAAUCCAAUUUAUAAUUUCUGGAGAAGCAAAGAAUUCAGAUCAGAAUUGUUGCCGUUGACUACUGUGCAGACCAGGAAACUGAAGUUGGGAGGGAUUUAAUCAUUUAUCCAAACGCAGAUCGCUGGUUCCGGUUGGUAAGAAAUCCUAGGCUUCAUCACACGAGAAGAUCUGAACCUAUCAGGAUAACCGCUGAUCCGUAACCAAUCAGAAUAACCGCUCAACCGUAACCAAUCAUCAAUCAGAAUAACCAUGAAAAGAAAUCAAACCUCCACCUCUGAAGAACUAGCGCGCCCUCUGGAUUCCUCUGCAUCUAGGGUGAGAGCACAAGACAUAACAAAACCGAGAUCAGCCGGUACAACAAGAAUCCUCCACGAGGGCCUCGAAUUAAUACACCUCGUACCAACGGAUGAUACGGAAUAAACCACAGCGGUCGGGGAACCAGAAGAUCGCAAACUUUUGAAAUCUGGAAUCACGGAUGAACGCAGAGGAAGCGGUCUGAACGAGCACGGGAAACUGACCUUGCCUCGGCCUCCGGCUCCACAAUCAGAGCUCCAAUUCCAAAAACCAGGCUCGACGAUCCUGCAACCAACGCGCGCGGAUGCGGACACGAAUACGAGGAACACAGGAUCCACGGUUGCAAACAGAAGCGGACACGCGACUCUGAGAUAGACUCGCAAACCAAAAUGAAUGAAUCCCCGAUCGAUCGCUUCCCGGGCUCGCCGGAUUGGAAUACCCUGCGAGCACAGCAAGGCAACGGCGACGGCGAGUGAAAUCAAAUCAAACGCGAUUCGAAACGAAUCGGGAAUUGAUGGACAAGGGGGUGGAAACAGUCGCCGAGGCGCGAGGAGGCGGCUCGGGCGAUCGAGGGCGGAGGCCCGGCCGGAACGAAAGCUCCAAAGGAGAAGAGAGGAGGGCAGAGCGCGGGGUGGAGGGGGCGCGCCUGUGGCGCCUUUUGUAGCCGGCGCAGAGGCGGUGCGGGAGGGGGAACCAACCGAUUCCUUACCGGACACGGCUUCGCCUCGCUGGCGUGCCCGGCCGCGGGUUAUCAGGUGGGCGGCGGAAAUCAAACGGGAGAGGAGCUGGUGAGACCGGGCUGGAAUCCGGGCUUGGUUCGGUUCGGUUCGGGUGGGGCGGCUGGCAGGUCGGCAAAGCACCGGGUUGGGACGUGGGCCGCACCGACGGAACGCGAAAUUUCUAGGCUGCUCGCUGCUCUCGGGGGUUGCGACGGGCCAUGUGAUGUGAGAUGCCGUGUGUGGCUGCCGUUGGUUGCUGACCGUGUCCGCGAGUGCGAGCCGCGACGAACGCGUGGAUGGGAUGAGAACGUGGAACAGGCGGUGCCGUGGAUGAGAACGUGGUCCGCGGAAAUAUCUGCCGUGUUUACACAAUCAACGUGCUCGCUAGCUUUUUUAUUUUUUAUUAUUUUUAGAAAAUGAUAAAGAAACAAACCCUAAGAGCAACACCAACCCGCCGACCCAAACGGAUUGCGCUUUUACCCGUUUUUUGUUUGUUUGGGUCGGUCUGGCGGACACCCAUGUCCGCUUUCGCGUUGGGGUCGCCGCUUGCGCUCAACAUUGGCCCGAUCCAUUUUUCAGCCGGCGCGGACAAGAAAAAAUCCCGCAAACAUUUUAAAAAAUAAAAACGUUAAUUAAACAUUAAUGACAGCCACAAAGGUCAGCGAGAGUCCAUGAGUCCACUAUUACAUUAAGUAAAAUAUUAAAUGACACUACAAACUACUAGGAGGCGCGCUGCCCUAGGCGUCCUCGUCAUCCUCGUCGGGGCCGGUGAGGUCGAUGGGCGUCGGCGCCGGGCCAGCCCACGGGAAUGCCGUCGACCAGGACAUCGUCCGCCGCCGGCUACGCUGGCCCACUGCGGGCAAGGCACACCUCCUCCUCCGCGUCGCGCUCCAGCUGCUCGAGGUACUCGCCCUCGCGGCGCUCCUCGGCCGGCCUCUGCUGCCGCCAUUGCUCGAGGUACGCCUGCUCCUGCGCCGGCAUCGCCCCCAACCAGACCGGUGACGCGCUGACCCACUGGUGCACCACCCCAGUCCAUGAGUAGCGCUCGACGGGGGACAGCGUGUAACGCCCAUGAUGCGGCUAUAUCUCCCACGUGUCGGGGCACGACUUAGAGGCAUAACCGCAUAGUGGUUUUGUCGCAAGAAGGGUCAUCUUCACACAAUCCCAUGUAAUGAACAAGAAUGGGAUAAGGAGUUGGCUUACAAUCGCCACUUCACACAAUACAUAAAUAUCAUUCAUACAUCAUCCAAAUAACAAUCAUUUAGACCGACUACGGUCAAAAUCCAGAUGAAAAUAAGACAACCCUAAAUGCUAGAUCCCCGAUCGUCCCAACUGGGCUCCACUACUGAUCAUCAGGAAAAGACACAUAAUAACGACCACGUUCCUCGUCGAACUCCCACUUGAGAUCGACGCCAUCGUCUGCACUGGCAUCGUCGGCACCUGCAACUGUUUUGGUAGAAUCUGUGAGUCACGGGGACUCAGCAAUCUCACACCCGCGAGAUCAAGACUAUUUAAGCUUGUAGGACAAGGAGGAGUAGAGAGGUGGAGCUGCAGCGGCAAAAGCAUAUAUGGUGGCUAACUUGCGUAAAAGAGAGCGAGAAGAGAAGCAAAGGAACGGACGUCAUCUAGCAAUGACCAAGAAGUGAUCCUGAACACCUACUUACGUCAUACAUAACACAGACCGUGUUCGCUUUCCGGACUCCGCCGAGAAGAGACCAUCACGGCUACACACGCAGUGGAUGUAUUUUAUUUGGGUCAAGUGACAAGUUAUCUACAACCGGACAUUAACAAAUUCCCAUCUGCCUCAUAACCGCGGGCACGGCUUUCGAAAGAUAAUACCCUGUAGGGGUGUCCCAACUUAGCCCAUCAUAAGCUCUCACGGUCAACGAAGGAUAAACCUUCUCCCGGAAAGACCCGAUCAGUCUCGGAAUCCCGGUUUACAAGACAUCUCGACAAUGGUAAAACAAGACCAGCAAAGCCGCCCGAAUGUGCCGACAAAUCCCGAUAGGAGCUGCACAUAUCUCGUUCUCAGGGCACACCGGAUUGUCCAAGCUUCCGAUAGGCCAGUCCAGAGUUGCCCCUGGUGGCCACCGGCGACUGACAGUUUGGACCAAUACUCAGAGGAGCACUGGCCCGGGGGUUUAAAAUAAAGAUGACCCUCGGGCUCUAGAAAACCCGGGGGAAAAAGGUAUAGGUCGCAAAUGGUAAAACCAAGGUUGGGCCUUGCUGGAGGAGUUUUAUUCAAGGCGAACUGUCAAGGGUGUCCCAUAAAUCACCCGACCGCGUAAGGAACGCAAACUCAAGGAACAUAAUCCCGGUAUAACAGUAACUAGGGCGGCAAGAGUGGAACAAAACACCAGGCAUAAGGCCGAGCCUUCCACCCUUAACCAAAAUAUAUAGAUGCAUUAAUUAAAUAAGAGAUAUUGUGAUAUCCCAACAUAUCCAUGUUCCGACAUGGAACAAACUUCAACUUCACCUGCAACUAGCAACGCUAUAAGAGGGGCUGAGCAAAAGCGGUAACAUAGCCAAACAACGGUUUGCUAGGAGAGGAUGGUUAGAGGCUGACAUGGCUAAAAUGGGAGACAUGAUCUAGCAAGUGAUAGGUAGCGGAGCAUGGCAAUAGAGCGAACAACUAGCAUGGCAAAGAUAGAAGUGAUUUCGAGGGGUGGUCAUCUUGCCUGCAAGAUUCUCAGAGUUGUCGAAAGCUUGAUCCUCGUAAGCGUACUCGACAGGUUCCUCGUUCACGAACUCGUCUCCCGGCUCUACCCAAGACAAGAACACAAACAAACGGAACCACAAUCAACAACGAGAAAUGCGCAAGCAACAUGACGCAAAACAUGUAUGAUAUGCAAGAUAUGAUAUGCGAUGCGUAUGCGUGCUCCGGAAGGAAAAAGAUGAACAUGGCAGUAACUUGGCAAACCAAGCAUGCCACUGGAAAGAUGAGAUGAUUUCGGUCGAAAUCGAUAUAAGGAUCACCGGAAUCGGAUGCACGGUUUGCAAAUGGCAAGCAAAACAGGAAUGACACGAAUCUGCGAUUAACAGCAUGAUAGCACUCAAAAUGCAACAAGUAACAAUGCUACAGCACCCCAACAUAGCAAAAAAGCACAUGGAAGUAAUCUACAGGAGAUGCUUGACAAAAGAUGAACAACAUAUCAAGUUCACAACAUAUCAAGUUCAAACAAGCAUGGCAAAAGUGCAAAAGAUUACAGGUUCACAGACUUGGUGAAAAACUGGACAUGGCAGAAAACAGCAUCAGGUAGCAAUGUUCAGAGCACGAAAUCAACAUGCUACAGGAACUUAACAUAGCAACACAAGGCAUGGUAGUGUUUUACUAAAUGCAUAUGACAAAAGUCCCUUACUGACCAUAAGCCAAAAAGGACCAGAAGAUAUGAUGGCAAGCAUGUAAACAUAGCAAGUUUCGUUAUCAGGUUUCAGACUUAGCAGAAAACAGAGCAUGGCAGGAAUAUUAAUAUGUAGGCCUCUUUGUGAGCUUGAUGCACUCACUACAGAGCAAUGCAUGACAAACCAAGCAUACCUACAGCAAGAUGGCAUGUUUAUGAAGCUAUCCAUGGAAAGAACAAUUGCAUAGCAUAUAUGGAUCAACUACAAUAAGCUUGGCAAAAAUGCAUGUCAUGUUAAGAAUCUGCCAGAAAUAUUUUAUAGCAAAAGUAGAGCAAGAUUGAGUCAUGCUAUGGCACUCCAUAAUUGCAAACAAUUGCAGGAAUGGAUCAAUUACAAUUAUAGCUACAAAACAUCCUUACUGAACAUCUCCAAAAUAUGCAUGGAUCUCUCUGUAGCAUCAAGUUUACAUGGCAACAAAAUUACAGCAGACGAGCAUUAAGUCCCUGAAAUCAGAAUUAUUACGGGGCCUACUUUGCAUGCUUGUUCUAGUCACCACAGAGAUCACAAAAAUACAUGGACUACAUCACUGGAAAGAUGGCAUGGCAUACUUCAAAACACAUAUAGAGCUCAUGCUCAAAAGAUGCACAGAUUUAAUGAUACAAAAAUGACAAAUCUCCAAGUUCUGUCAAGAACCAGAGAAUAACAGCAACUAGCCCUCUUCCAACGAAGAUUUGGGCAUCAAGAUGACCUCCAAUGAACAUGGCGCAAUUGAACAAAAUGAAGAGCAUCACGAGGCGAACAAUUUGACAUAUUACACGCGCGAAUCGGAGCUACAUGCACAGAGUUAUCGCAAUACAAACAGGAGCACAUGCAGAUAAGAUUUUAUGACGGGAAAAAAACGGACGUGAGGGAGAGGUCAACGGGGCUGUACCAGAUCGGAUCUCGCGAGGCCGAGCUCGAGCUCGGCCGACGCCGACGAGGCAGGGAGAGGGGCUCCGGCGGGGAGCGCCCGGAGGAGGGCCCGGCGGCGGAGGAGGGGCGCUGGAGGGUGACGGCGGCGGCGGGCGGCGGCGGCGGCNNNNNNNNNNNNNNNNNNNNNNNNNNNNNNNNNNNNNNNNNNNNNNNNNNNNNNNNNNNNNNNNNNNNNNNNNNNNNNNNNNNNNNNNNNNNNNNNNNNNNNNNNNNNNNNNNNNNNNNNNNNNNNNNNNNNNNNNNNNNNNNNNNNNNNNNNNNNNNNNNNNNNNNNNNNNNNNNNNNNNNNNNNNNNNNNNNNNNNNNNNNNNNNNNNNNNNNNNNNNNNNNNNNNNNNNNNNNNNNNNNNNNNNNNNNNNNNNNNNNNNNNNNNNNNNNNNNNNNNNNNNNNNNNNNNNNNNNNNNNNNNNNNNNNNNNNNNNNNNNNNNNNNNNNNNNNNNNNNNNNNNNNNNNNNNNNNNNNNNNNNNNNNNNNNNNNNNNNNNNNNNNNNNNNNNNNNNNNNNNNNNNNNNNNNNNNNNNNNNNNNNNNNNNNNNNNNNNNNNNNNNNNNNNNNNNNNNNNNNNNNNNNNNNNNNNNNNNNNNNNNNNNNNNNNNNNNNNNNNNNNNNNNNNNNNNNNNNNNNNNNNNNNNNNNNNNNNNNNNNNNNNNNNNNNNNNNNNNNNNNNNNNNNNNNNNNNNNNNNNNNNNNNNNNNNNNNNNNNNNNNNNNNNNNNNNNNNNNNNNNNNNNNNNNNNNNNNNNNNNNNNNNNNNNNNNGGCGCGGGUGACGUGGCGCGCUCCGGUUGGCCGGGCGCGAGGCGGACGUUGUCCGGCCGGAGCGGACGAGUCCGGCGCGGCGCGGAGGGAGAGGGUUAGGGUUUCGUCUGAGAUUUCGUUUUUCGGGAUGCCCACUUAUAAAUAGGUAGAGGGAGCUAGGAGGCUCUAAAUGAGGUGCGGUUUUCGCCCACACGAUCGUGAUCCAACGACCUAGAGCAUGGAAGAGAGUUUGGUGGGCUUUGGGAUGGUCUUGGAGGGGGUUUUUGCUGGACACUCAAAUGGACUUGGCGGAUGCCCGGUUAACCGUUGGAGUACCAAACGACCUCCGAAUGGAACGAAACUUGACCGGUAGUGUUGAGGAUAUAGACCUGGGGGUCACCCGCCAGGAGGGCCGGGUUACUCCAAGGAUCAUUACCAGAAGCCCGGAGCUAAGUUUCAGGAUAAUGGGCCAGAGAUGGGCUGAGACCCGAAUAUGGCUUAAAGCCCGUAGUUACAAUCAUUGUUAUAGUAGACUUGUAGUGUAAGGCAAGUAUUGUUUUAGAGCCCGAGCCGGACACUCUUAUGAGCCGGCCGGGACUCUAAGGGCUGCUGGGCAUCAGCCUCCCUAUAUAAAGGGACGACCCGGCAGCGGUUUGGGGACGACAACAAUCUAUCCGAGAGCCGGGAUAAGUGUUUAGUUCCCUGGCGAUCGUAACCCUAAUCAAUAACACCUCGAACUGGACGUAGGCUUUUACCUUCACCGUAAGGGGCCGAACCAGUAUAAACCCUCGUGUUCCUUUUCCCGCAUAACCCCUUCAAGCUUCCUAGUUGCGAUGGCUCCACGACUAAGUCCUAGCCCAAGGACAUCUGCCGUGACAAUUCCACGACAGUUGGCGCCCACCGUGGGGCGAGCGCACGGUGGAUUUGAGUUCUUGAAGGGCAGCUUCGAAGGGCUCAAGGGAUACGCUGUGGGCCGGAUGACCAAGAGUCGUCGCGGCAGGCUCUACAUCGACGACGCGGGCUGGGGCCCCGACGCCGGCUCAGUGGAGUACGGGUACCGGGUCCCCUUUGGCGGAAUUCAUGUCUUCAUUGGCAAGAUUGGUGAGCCGGGCCCCGAGCCGGGUCUCUGCGCCGAUCUCAUCGAAACGGCUCAGCGCGCCCGAUCCGCCCGGGCCCGGCCUGCCUUAAAACGCGCUUUUGUGGGAUGCAUCCAUGGAAGGCCCUCCGAUCCAUCUGGGUCUGGGGAUGAGGCGGCCGCCGGCUCUCACGGCGAGUCGGCCGCUGAUGAGUCAAACUCGUUGUACCAACUUCAAGAUGGCAGGCUCAUGAGUUAUUCCGAUGGCAACAGUAUUCCGGACCUUUUUGAGCCGCCAAGUCAGGUCGGAGUUUUUAUGGCUGGUGCGCAGCCUGUUCAGAACCCCGCUACCGGAUCAGAAAAUCCGGAGCCUUCCCCGGCUCAGGUGCUGAUGGAUCUCACAGAUAAGAUGACGGCCCUGUUAACUGCCACGGUUGACCCGGCAGAUCAAGCCCAGCAUGACGCGGAGGUGGCACAGUUAAAAUUGGAUCUGAUGAAAGCAAAAGAGGAUCUUGCAGCAGAAGGGAUCAGGCUGGCGGCGGAGCGGGCGGCUCUCGACGCCCGGGCUCAGUUGAUUCAGGCGCAGUCCUUCCAACUCACGAUGGAUCAGAACGCGGCCAACGAGGUCAUGAGAAGGAGGCAUCAGAAGGCCCAGUCUCGACUCCCGCCGGUUUACGAUCCGCGCAAUCUAUUCAACACGCCGGGUGCGGGAUCCAGUAACCCACCAGGGGUCAUUGCGCCCGGGUCGGGACCCCUUAUUCAGCCACUAGUAAUGGGGCCUCCCCAGGCGCCCCCUGCCCCGCCUAGUAUGUGCCAAUACCCCUGGGUCAUUACGAUAACCCGCUGGAGAACAUGGUAGCAGCGGCAGCACGACUGGCGGCUCUUCCCGUUGACGGCAAUUCUCCGGCCGCCGUGGAAACCCGCCGGGUCAGGGAACUCCUGCAGACGGCCCUAGCGCAGCAAGAGGCGUACUCCUACAGCCGGGACAGGAUCCACUCAACUCCUCGCCCAGGCCAGAGCCCGAGCUACAGCCGGCACAUGGUCUCGGCGACCGGCUCAAGUAAUGUCCGACGCCAUGGCCCGGCUCAUGUUGGAACCUUCUACGCCGCAGACCGAGCACGGCAAGAGGCGGAGCAGGUGCCGCAAUUGACGGCUUAUCAGACCCCCCCGGCUUAUCCAACGGCGUCCGUUGAUGUGGGUAUUUCUACCAGGACCGGGGGUGUCCCUUGUUUGGUGCCGGCCAUCCGUAAUGAACGUUUACCUAAGGAUUUCAAGGGCCCUAGGAAGGUGCCUAACUAUACAGCUGACUUACAGCCUGCGGCCUGGAUUGAGAGUUAUGAGAUGGCCAUGGAACUGCUAGAGGUCAGCGAGGCGGCCAUGGCCAAAUAUUUCACCAUGAUGUUAGAUGGAACAGCCCGCACGUGGUUAAAAGGGCUGCCACCGAACUCCAUUGGGUCUUGGACUGAGCUGAAGGCCCGGUUCAUUCAAAACUUCAAGGAUACCUGUAGGCAGUCUAUGUCAAUUGUGGAUUUGACUAACUGUAAGCAGCAGGAGGGCGAGUCCACGACCCAUUGGGUUCGCCGGGUCAAGGAGAUCAUACAUUCAUCAGAUAAGAUGGACGCCGGCUCUGCAGUCUUGAUGUUAGAACAGAACUGUCGUUUUGUGCCCCUAAAGAUGAAGCUUGGGCGGCUUAAACGUGACUGCACGGAUAUGGGUACACUAAUGGCGGCUCUUGUCAAAUACGCUGAUUCCGAUGGUACCAAGGAUCCCCCUUCAGGUGAUGAAAGGACAGGGAAGGGAAAGAAGAACGGCAAUGGAAAGAGCCCUCAGUUUAACCCGGGGAAUCAAGGAGGAGGCAAGCGCAAGGCCGAUGGCAGCCUGGAGUUCGUAGCCAACACCCAAGGCAACAACCAGCGACGCAAGGGGAGGCCCCCUCCCCGAGGCGGCGGGUCAGGACCUUCUCUGGAGCAGCUGUUGAAUGAACCUUGUCCGAGACACGGCUCUAGAGAGAAGCCAGCGACUCAUCUGUGGAAGGAUUGUGCUAUCAUGAAGGCCUUUAAAAACUACAAUGGCCCGGGCGGCGGCCCAGGCGCAGGCGGCUCCGGCGCUGGCGGCUCUCAUGGCCCGGGUGGCGGGUCAAAUUCCGGUCCUCAGAACGGUCAAGGGGGCUUCAAUCAACAGUCUGGUCAGGGUCAUCAACGGCAACAGGGGGGUUAUCAGACCAACCCGAAGCAACUUAGCGGUGGACAGUAUCACGUGUUCACCACUAGUUUGUGCAAACGAGACGAGAAGCUUCACAAGAGGGCUGUUAAUUCUGUUGAGCCGGCGGUUCCACGCUACUUACGGUGGUCGGAGCAGCCCAUAGUGUGGAGUAGGGAGGAUCACCCUCCCCGGGUGGAUAACCCGGGCCACCUGGCCUUAGUAGUGGCUCCUCAGGUGGGAGGCUAUAAGUUCACAAAGGUACUCAUGGAUGGAGGCAGCAGUAUCAACAUCCUCUAUUAUGAGACUUUCCGUCGUAUGGGGCUAGUUGAUAAGAACCUCAGCCAGUCAAAUACUAUCUUCCAUGGUGUGGUACCCGGUAAGUCGGCUUAUCCAGUCGGCAAGAUCGAAUUGGAAGUGGCUUUUGGUGAUGAAAACAACUACAGGGUGGAGAAGUUGACCUUUGAGGUGGUCAAGAUAAGAAGUCCAUACCAUGCUAUAUUCGGACGGCCGGCUUACGCCAAGUUCAUGGCACGGUCGUGUUAUGUGUACUUACAGCUCAAGAUGCCGGGUCACAAUGGGACCAUUACAGUUCACGGCAGCCGGAAGGUGGCUCUGGAGUGUGAGGAAGGUGACGCGGCUUAUGCAGAGUCUGUUUGUGCCACAGAAGAGUUGAAAUUUUAUAAAGACAAUGUUGACCCAACAGAUAUGACCUCUCUGAAAAAGCCAACCACGGAGAAUGAACCAGCAAUGAAGUUUAAAUCAGCCGAUGAGACUAAACUUGUUGAUUUUGUUCCAGGUGACUCGUCUCAGCAGUUCAGCAUCAGUGCAAAUCUGGACCCGAAAUAGGAAGGCGCGCUCAUCGAGUUCAUCCGUGAGAAUAGGGACAUCUUUGCAUGGAAACCUUCUGACAUGCCAGGUGUACCUAGAGAACUCGCUGAGCACACUCUCAAUGUGGAUCCAAAAUUUAAGCCGGUCAGGCAGUUCCUUCGACGGUUUAACGAAGAGAGGCGGAAGGCUAUUGGUGAAGAAGUGGCCCGGCUUUUGGCGGCCGGGUUCAUUGUUGAGGUUUUUCACCCAGAGUGGUUGACUAACCCGGUGCUCGUACUUAAAAAGAACGGCACCUGGCGGAUGUGUGUGGACUACACGGACUUGAACAAGGCGUGUCCGGCUGAUCCUUUUGCUCUCCCCCGCAUCGAUCAAAUCAUUGACGCCACGGCAGGUUGUGCACGCUUAAGUUUCUUGGAUGCUUAUUCCGGGUAUCAUCAGAUUAAGAUGGCAGUUAAGGACCAGGAGAAGACGGCGUUCAUCACUCCCUUUGGAGCCUUCUGCUAUGUGUCUAUGCCCUUUGGACUCAAGUGUGCACAGGCGACUUACCAGCGUUGUGUGCAGAAUUGCCUUCAUAAGCAGAUCGGGCGCAAUGUUCACGCUUACGUGGACGACAUUGUGGUUAAAUCCAUCAAGGAGGAAACCCUGAUAGAUGACUUAAGGGAAACCUUCGACAAUCUCCGGGUCUAUAAGAUGAUGCUUAACCCGGCCAAAUGUGUUUUUGGUGUUCCUGCAGGCAAACUAUUGGGCUUCUUGGUUUCUGACAGGGGCAUUGAGGCUAACCCAGAGAAGAUCAAAGCUAUCACUUCUCUAGCUCAGCCGGCAUGUAUAAAUGACGUUCAGCGUUUGGCGGGUCGCAUCGCUGCGUUAAGCCGGUUUAUAAGCCGUUUGGGUGAGAAGGCUAUGCCUUUAUAUCAAUUGAUGAAGAAAACUGAUAACUUUGUCUGGAAUGAUGCAGCUAAUACCGCCUUCGAGGAUUUGAAAAAGCAACUGGCAGAGCCCCCCGUCCUUGCUACUCCGGUUGAUAAGGAGCCCUUGCUACUGUAUGUAGCGGCAAACGCACGAGCUGUCAGCGUGGCUAUUGUGGUGGAGCGCAAGGAGGCAGGUAAGGAACAUCCGGUUCAGCGGCCGGUUUAUUAUGUCAGUGAGGUGCUCAUUGAGUCCAAGCAGCGGUAUCCGCAUUGGCAGAAGCUCGUAUAUGGGGUAUUUAUGGCGAGCCGGAAGCUUAAGCAUUACUUUCAAGGGCAUCCCAUCACUGUGGUCAGUUCCGCCCCUCUCGGUGAUAUUAUCCAGAACAGAGAGGCUACAGGGAGAAUUGCUAAGUGGGCUAUAGAACUUGGACCUCAUGACCUCAAAUAUGUGCCACGCACUGCUGUUAAGUCUCAGGCCUUGAUAGAUUUCAUCAAUGAUUGGACAGAGUCACAAGUACCCGAGCAAAAGCCGGAUAACACUUAUUGGACUAUUCACUUUGAUGGGUCCAGGCAGCUGGAGGGCUCGGGGGCUGGUGUGGUCUUGGCUUCCCCUAAAGGUGACAAGUUCCAUUAUGUGCUACGGUUGAUGUUUCCUUGCACUAAUAAUGCGGCUGAGUACGAGGCUCUGCUCCACGGUCUUCGGGUGGCUAAGGAGAUGAGCUUAAGCCGGCUGAGGUGUUUUGGUGACUCAGACUUGGUGGCUCAACAAGUAUCAGGCACCUGGGAUUCUAAGGAUCCUCUAAUGGCGGCUUAUCGCCGCAAGGUUGAUGCCAUUGCCGGGCACUUUCAGGGAUAUCAAGUGGAGCACAUUGACCGCAGGAAGAAUGAGGCGGCUGAUGCUUUAAGCCGGCUCGGCUCUCAGCGAAAGCCGGUGCCGCCUAACACUUUCCUGGAUGUCCUAUAUAACCCUUCGGUUAAGUUGCCUACAGAGGAGGACUUGGCUAUCCCUGACCCGGAGGCACGACUGGUGGCGGCUCUUCAUAUCACACCAGACUGGACAAUGCCAUAUCUGGCUUAUAUAACCCGGGGAGAGUUGCCUGAGGAUGAAAUUCUGGCCAGGCAAAUAACCCGGCGGGCUAAGUCAAUGAUUGUUAUCGAUGGCGAGUUGCAUCAUCGCAGUGUUUCAGGGGCAUUCCAGCGUUGUAUCUCCCCUGAGGAAGGUCAAGAGAUCUUGCGCGAGAUCCAUGAAGGGGAUUGUGGCCAUCAUGCCGGUUCAAAAUCUCUUGUGGCCAAGGCUUUCCGUCAUGGUUUUUAUUGGCUGACGGCUCACGCUAAUGCAGAGAACUUGGUCAGUAAAUGUGAUGGCUGCCAAAGGUUCUCCCGACGGGCUCAUGUGCCGGCUCAGGAAUUGAGGAUGAUCCCGAUCACUUGGCCCUUUGCGGUCUGGGGGCUUGAUAUGGUCGGGCCUUUUAAACGGUCCAAGGAUAAGAAGACUCACCUCUUGGUGGCAGUGGACAAAUUCACGAAGUGGGUGGAAGCUGAGCCAGUUAGCAAGUGCGAUGCAGCCACGGCGGUCCAAUUUAUGAAAAAGGUGAUCUUCCGCUUCGGCUUUCCACACAGCAUCAUAACAGACAACGGCACUAAUCUGUCCAAAGGCGCUAUGGAGGAGUUUUGUCAAAGAGAGCAUAUCCGGCUUGAUGUCUCUUCAGUGGCACACCCCCAAUCCAAUGGUCAAGCUGAGAGAGCUAACCAGGAGAUUCUGAAGGGCAUUAAACCCCGGCUCUUGGUCCCUUUGCAACGGACGCCAGGUUGUUGGGUGGAGGAGUUGCCCUCCGUUUUAUGGAGCAUCAACACUACUCCUAACAGGUCUACAGGCUUCACGCCUUUCUUCAUGGUUUAUGGAGCAGAAGCAGUUCUCCCCAGCGACAUCCGUCAUGAUUCACCUCGUGUGGCGGCUUAUGUUGAGACGGAUAAUGAACAGGCGCGCCGAGAUGCUCUGGACUUGCUGGACGAACAGCGUGAUGUGGCAGCCGCCCGUUCAGCGAUUUACAAACAAGACCUGCGCCGUUAUCAUAGCCGCCGGGUCAAAUCCCGGGUCUUCCAGGAGGGCGACCUGGUGCUCCGGCUCAUCCAGGAUCAAACAGAUGCACACAAGUUAUCCCCACCUUGGGAAGGGCCUUUUGUGGUCAGUAAGAACUUGCACAACGGGUCAUAUUACCUCAUUGAUAUCCGGGAGCAUAAGGACUCACGUAAAUCUGAGGAGGAGACCCGUCGGCCGUGGAACAUAGCUCAGCUUCGGCCUUACUACACUUGAGCUUCCGACUCUUGUGAUGUACAUAUUUAUCUCAGCCAUGUAUAUAUUAUGAUAAAGCAAUAAAGCAGGACCUCUGUCCUUUGCUCUCUUCCAAAAAUGUGUGUUGUUACAUGCUGACUUACAGAAGAUCCGGCUUAUGAUCAUCUUCGAAUCUAGCUGUAAGCAGUAAAGUCGCUUGGGGGCUUCCUGUUCACACAUGGGUCGUAUUCGAACCAAAGAGAACAUAGCUGUCGAUACCCAUUUGAUUGGCAAAAUGCCGAGCUCAUUGGGAAGUUGCCUCUGGUCAUAUUUGAAUCAUAGUGUAACCCCUCUGAGAACCGACGUGGAUCGUAUUCGAAUCAGCGUCGUUAAACAAAUUUUCAGAAUCACUUGGGGGCUUCCUGUUCAAACAUGGGUCGUAUUCGAACCAAAGAGAACAUAGCUGUCGAUACCCUCUUGAUUGGCAUCGCCAAACCCACUGGGGGCUAUAUGAUCGUAUCCGAAUCUUAGCUUAACCCCUUUGGACCGAGUUUCUGGUCGUAUUCGAACCGGAAGCCCUUAAGUUUUUAUAUUUUACCACAAACUUGCUUUGAUCAUGUCAAAGUAUGUACUGCCGGGUUUCACUUGCCGGCUUAAUUUUGGUUUAUCUUGUUAGUUGAGCAUCAUGGAUGUCAUCAAGACAAAUAAAUUCGAGUUAAGGUACCAACCGUGCUACCCGGGCUAUUUAACCCGGAAGUAUGCUUACAGGCUGUUAAGUGUGUCAUCACAGCUAUGUUCGAGUAUAGUUAAGGACCGAUCUUUUUUGGUUCGUAUCCCGGGUUAUCCAUCUCAAACACCUGAUUCUCAGGGCGGUAAGCCGCUUUGCGUCUUGUAAUUUGCCUUUCUAUGCAGAUAUUUAAAGGCACUUUUUAAGGUUGAGAAGGACAAAGGGAUAAUUCCGACCCGGAGGAGCAUCAAAAGAAUGACUUCAAAGGAUUUCAGCAUUCAUUACGUGCACGAUGGCACGGCAGAGAUAAAUUGUUGCACCUACUCUAUUACAAAAAUCUUUCAAAGUUUCAAGGAUGGGCGUUGUUUGGUGAGCCGCUAGCCGGUUUAUGACGCCUGCUGAGUUGAAGUCCCCGGCUCAUCUUCUGCUUCGGCUGAUCCCAAGGCUUCGAAGGUCGACGACUUGCAGUUGAUGCCGCUGAGAGCUUCGAACUGAGCUUCUUCGUUAAUUAACCCAUCCGGGUUAAUCUCCGGGGCAAAGGUGUGCUGGCGAGCCGGAGGAAUCAGAUUGAUGGCUUCAUAGCGAGGGGUUGGAAUCCUCUGAUUCUCCGCGUUGUAUCCCGGCUGAUACUUGGUUAAAUCGGUGUCGUUCCCGAUGAUGGUGGCUACCGGGCGCACAGCUUUCACACAAGCCGCGAAGUCCUUCUGGUCGAACGCUGAGCCGUCUUCUUUCAGGCUGGGAUAACCCAGGGCGAUGUCUGCCGGGUCUAGCUCCGGCAAGAAGGCUUUGGCCCGGCUCAGUGCGGCGAUUGCUCCGGAUCUCGCGGAUGCUCGUCGUAGCUCCUGGAUCCGCUGCGGCAGAACUGCAAGCCGGCGCAGGACUUCGGCCAGAUGAGUCGGCACUUCAUUCGACAGGGCCACCACAGCUAAAGCCCGCUGUGACCCGGUGUAGAGCUGUUCCACCAGGGUGUACACGGCCUUUAACUUGGUGACCACGCUCUGGUUCAAGUUGGCGCUUCUGGAACCUGUUUAACAACAUCAGAUGACCCGGUGGUAAGGAUGAGUUAAGAGAUGUAAAUAUUCCAAUGUGAAUGAAAGCCGGUGAGGCGACUUACCGAAGAUGGCAGCUACCAUUUGGGACACUUGGCGCUUUAGACCGGAGAGCUCAGCGGUCUUCUCAGUAAGGGCCUUCUCCGCCUGUUCUGCCCGGGUCACCAGUGCAGUUUUCUCCUCAGCCCAGGCCUUCCGCUCAGCGUCGAAUUCAGUCUUCAACUUUUCCUGAGCGGCGAUGCUGGAGACAAACUUGGCAUUUGCCUUCCGGGUCUCCAUCUCUUGUGCCUUCAGCCGGCUCUUGAGAUCCGCCAGGUCUGACUCUAAUUUCUUGCCAACAGACUGCAUAUAUUUCCGGGUUAUUAACAGUCAUCCUAUAAAGUCCCAAGCGCUUUCCAAGCAAAGACACUUGGCACUUGGGGGCUAAUGCAUAUUGAACGUAUCUAUCUAUGUACGGCCGGCUCAGUUCAGUAAGCCGGAAUCUAAAGUCUACAACAUAUUCAAGUAUAAGUCCUAGACUUGGGGGCUAGAAUGGCAAGGAUCACUAUGCGGAAAGUAAGAGAACAGCAGAAGGUUACCUCAGAUUUGUGUUGGAUCUGGUUGACCAUGGCGAUCUCGGCGUCCCGGCUCUUGUGAACCUGGCUGAUAUAGCUUGAGACGAGUUCUCCAAUACUUAAGUCGGUGUAGCUGGAGAGAUCCAGAUUCACCCGGUGGGGUUGUAGCAACUCCCCCCUUGCGGAGCAUUUGGCCAGCGCGGUCGGCCUUCCCGGCUCAACAAACUCCGUCCGGGUAAUUACCACGUCCGGGUCAUUAGCUGGUGGGGCUUCAGGCGCCGUAUCCAUGGGAAUGGUGGCUUCAGGGGUGGAGGCGACUGGCGGCUCUUGAGCCGUCGUCUCCGGCUCAGGCAAGUCGGGCACUCCGGCUGACCUGGUCUUCUUUACUCUUUUGGUGAGCUUUGCCUGGGCACUGAAAAGGCAGAAGUGUUAGGCAUACAAAGGGUAAGUACAGACAGAUAAUGUAAGGAGAUUGUUAUUACCCGGGGGCAGUCUUGAAGGCCGGCAGACUUGACUGCAUGGAGUCACCCGAGGAGGGGGAGGUCUCCUGAUAAUUGGAGUCAGAAGAGUUGAGUGGCUGACGGAUGACACCCGCCAACGGAUGAAAAGGGUACAGGUGAGCAAAAACCUCAGUGCGGCGUUUCCUCGUUGCGUCGGGUAACCCAGUGGAGAGGUCGGUGUCCUUGCGGGCCCGGGUGUGACGCCGGCUCUCGUGAACCUGCUGCUUCAAAAGAAAUUGAGGGUCUCGGUGAGCUAAUCGAUGGGAAAAGCUUACUUUCCGGGUUACCCUUCGGACUUUCAGCUGUGGUAAAGGCUCCGAGCCGGAGGAAAGUGAUGUUACCUCUUCGACCACCGGGUUACUGGCGCCGGUGUCAUCCUGUCAAUAAGCAAGUGUUGAUAAGGCGGACAGCAUCAGACAACAUAUACUGCAAGAAUUUAAAAGAUUUAAGGGUUACCUCUGAUUCGGAGCUAUCGCUUAAUUGCAGCAGCUCCGAAGCAGUGGGUCUGUUUCCCUUUUUGCGAGAGGCGGCUCUCUUGGCGGCUUUCUUCGCCUUCCUGGCCUUCUUGGCCGCCUCGUGGUCAUACUUGACCCGCCAGAAUUUAUCAUCAGCCUGAGAAAUACAGUAAUGAGCUCUUAGUAAGAUGACAGGUAAAACAAAAUGGAAAGGUUAAAGUCAGCGGCUUACCGCUGGGGCUGGAUUGGUCUUGCAGAACGGGGCUAGCCCGAUUCUUCCACAGUCUGCCAGGCUCUCGUUUAAAAGAGCCUUGGUCUCUUCUUCAGCAACGUCUUCUGGAAGAUCAUUGCGACUGUGCCUCUGCGGGUCAUCCUUUCGCCCGGUGUACUCACACAUUAAGCCGGGGCGGCGGCUCAAUGGGAUCACCCGCCAUGAGAUCCAGACCCGGACCAGGUCAAUUCCGUUCAGACCAUUGCCUAGCAGGGCUUUGAUCUUGUUGAUCGUUGGAAGCAGAGGCUGGCGUUCUGCGGCAGUCAGUUUGUCGGAUAAUGGAUGAGUUGGCUCCAGGCGCGUUGGGCGAAAGCCGGGCAGCGGGCUCUCAUCAGCCGGGGACGUGUCUUGGCAGUAGAACCAAGUCAUGUUCCAGUCCUUGGGGUGACUUGGCGGUUCUGCAUAAGGGAACAGACAAUCCCUGCGCCGUUGGAUGGAGAUGCCGCCUAACUCUAGACUUGGACCGUUUGCGCACUCGGUUUGGCGGUUCAAAUAGAACAGCUCUCUGAAGAGCAGCAGACUCGGCUCUUCUCCAAGAUAUACUUCACAAAAAACUUGGAAGUUGCAGAUGUUGGAUAUGGAAUUGGGUCCUAUAUCCUGAGGCCUAAGAUCAAAGAAGUUGAGCACAUCCCGGAAGAAUUUUGAGCCGGGCGGUGCGAAGCCCCGGCUCAUAUGGUCGGCAAAGAUCACUACCUCCCCGUCUCUCGGCUGUGGCCUUUCUUCGGACGGGUCAGGGGCACGGUAGGACAUCACUUCCUUCUUAGGCAGAUAUCCGGAUUUAACGAAGUUGGCCAGGGUCUCUUCGGUGACGCUGGAUUUCAUCCAGUUGCAAGUGAUGGGAGCCUUGGGAGGCAUGGUGACGGUUGGUGGUCUACGAGGAAGAGAAAAGUGUCCGGGUUAAUUAUAAGCCGGAGUAUAUCAUUCAAGUUACAAUGACGGCUUAUGAAGGGGACUAAUGGUAUGUCUUGAUACGGUGGGUUAUCUAAGCCGUCGGGGCUUUCAGGAUAAGUUGGUCGUCUACGGCUUACUGCGGUUAAGUCGGAGGAUACUACAGAGCAUGAUUCUCUUUAAAUCGGAAAGUUCUACGGCGCGUGUUUUCUCUAAGUCGGAAAUAUAAGCCGCCAAGAUUCAAGGACUGCAGUUUUUACUAAGUGUGGUAAACAGAUUUCACAUAUUACAGUAACUUUUUUGGAUCAAAGUAGUCGGAGCAGAGAAAGUUUUCUAGACCUAAAAAACAGAAGCAGGGGAGGUUCUUGAGAUGGAACCCAGUCCUUAUGCAGUAAAAAGAGGUGUUCUUGCAGAAGAAAUGACCCUCAGAUAUCUACCGCGGUGGUUCUACACAAGCCUAAGGAUCAACGGGGGCAGUGGCUACAGGGGUUACCGAAACUUGCGGUAACAGUGAUGAACAUGAAGAACACAGAUGAACUCUGUCUUAGAUCUAUGCUAGUAAGGCAGAGGGGACUCACCGGAGCUGGAGAAGAGCGGAGGUCGCCGACGUUAUCUGGUCCGAGUCAGGUUGAUGCAGCGGCCGGGUUGAGGAAGACCAGGGGUGCGACGGCGGCGGCGGCAGAAGCUCGGGCAGAGGAACGGCAGUGCGAGGAAGAAGAAGGAGAAUGUGAAGAAGAGAGUGCCGGGCCGGCCUAUUUAUAAGGCCGAGUCAUAAGCGGGCGCGGGAUUUGAGGAGGCCACGGCGUGGUUAUCUCCCCCCUCACGGCGCCUCGAUUCUCGGAAGGUCAGUAAAAGCAAAGAUCCGUUGCGGAUCUGGCGGAGUAAAGAACGGAUUUAGUGCAGGAUGACGUCACGGCGGAUUACCCGGAGUCCAGAGGAUGACGUCACUCCGGGUUAUGACCUUCACAUGAAUGAUAAGCCGGAGCUUUUUUCUGACUGCGGAGCUGAAGAUUGACACGAGCCGGCUCAAGUCAAUCUGGGGCCUAAUGUUGAGGAUAUAGACCUGGGGGUCACCCGCCAGGAGGGCCGGGUUACUCCAAGGAUCAUUACCAGAAGCCCGGAGCUAAGUUUCAGGAUAAUGGGCCAGAGAUGGGCUGAGACCCGGAUAUGGCUUAAAGCCCGUAGUUACAAUCAUUGUUAUAGUAGACUUGUAGUGUAAGUCAAGUAUUGUUUUAGAGCCCGAGCCGGACACUCUUAUGAGCCGGCCGGGACUCUAAGGGUUGCUGGGCGUCAGCCUCCCUAUAUAAAGGGACGACCCGGCAGCGGUUUGGGGACGACAACAAUCUAUCCGAGAGCCGGGAUAAGUGUUUAGUUCCCUGGCGAUCGUAACCCUAAUCAAUAACACCUCGAACUGGACGUAGGCUUUUACCUUCACCGUAAGGGGCCGAACCAGUAUAAACCCUCGUGUUCCUUGUCCCGCAUAACCCCUUCAAGCUUCCUAGUUGCGAUGGCUCCACGACUAAGUCCUAGCCCAAGGACAUCUGCCGUGACAAUUCCACGACAGGUAGUCUCCGGGUGGUAUAUUAAGACCACUUGACAAGCCUCGGUCCAUUCCGAGAAAGUUUGACACACGCACACGAAAGAAAACAAGAGGGGUGCACCGGAGGAGAUAGGAGCGCCGGAUUGGAAAACGGACAACGGGGAAAAUGCUCGGAUGCAUGAGACGAACACGUAUGCGAAUGCAAUGCACAUGAUGACAUGAUAUGAAAAUGCAUGACAUGACAAAAUACAAAACGAAAGACAAAACCCGACAACGGAGGGAAAAUCAUAACACAUAGCCGGAAAUGGCAAGAGUCGGAGUUACAAAUAUGGCAAGUUACAUGCGGGGUGUUACAACACUCCACCACUACGAGAGGAUCUCGUCCCGAGAUCUAGGACUGAAAAAACUCCGGAUAUUCGGAACGGAGAUGGUCUUCGCGUACCAGGUGGCUUCCCGGUCGGAAUGAUGCGACCACUUCACUUUCAGGAAUUUGAUAGACUUGUUGCGAGUCUUGCGCUCAGUUUCUUCAAGAAUAGCAACUGGGUGCUCAUGAUAAGACAAAUCUUCUUGGAGGUCAAUCUCUUCGAAGUCGAUAGUGCGCUCAGGCGUCUUGAAGCACUUGCGGAGCUGUGACACGUGGAACACAUCGUGCACGUUCGCGAAGUUGGAAGGAAGCUCAAGUUGAUAGGCGAGGUCGCCUCUUUUGCCAAUGAUCUUGAAAGGACCCACGUAUCUAGGGGCAAGCUUCCCUUUGAUACCGAAGCGACGAGUGCCUUUCAUUGGAGAGACGCAGAGGUAGACAUGGUCUCCGAUCUCGAAAGCCAAAUCACGGUGCUUACUAUCAUAGUAACUCUUCUGGCGCGAUUGCGCGGCUUUGAGAUGAUCACGGAUGACUUUACACAUUUCUUCAGCUUCAGUGAUUAAGUCAUUGCCAAGAAGUUGGCGUUCACCAGUCUCUGGCCAAUUGAGAGGAGUACGGCACUUUCUGCCAUAGAGAAUCUCGAAUGGGGCCUUGCCCGAACUCGCUUGGAAGCUGUUGUUGUAGGAGAAUUCAGCAUAUGGAAGACAAUCUUCCCAUUUCAUGCCAAAGGAAAUGACACAAGCCCUGAGCAUAUCUUCAAGAAUUUGAUUGACUCGCUCGACUUGGCCACUAGUUUGAGGGUGAAAAGCUGUGCUGAAGCGAAUAUUUGUGCCCAUGGCCUUCUGGAAGGAGUCCCAGAACUUAGAGGUGAAGAUACUUCCACGAUCUGAAGAAAUCAAUUGUGGAAUGCCGUGCAAGGAGACAAUUCUGGAGGUGUAGAGCUCUGCCAGCUGAGCUGCUGUGAUGGAUUCUUUGAUAGGAAGGAAAUGAGCCACUUUAGAGAGCUUGUCAAUGACAACAAAGAUAGCGUCAUUUCCGCGCUUGGACUUUGAAAAUCCAGUCACGAAGUCCAUUUCAAUAUGAUCGAACUUCCAUUCUGGGAUAGCAAGAGGUUGGAGGAGACCAGCUGGUCAUUGGUGUUCUGCUUUCACUCUUCGGCAGACAUCACAUUCAUUCACGAAUUGAGCAAUUUCUCGCUUCAUUCGAGUCCACCAAUACGACUGCUUGAGGUCAUGAUACAUCUUCGUACUUCCAGGAUGAAUGGACAGGAGAGAAUUGUGUGCCUCAUUCAUUAUGACUUUCCGUAGAUCACCUUUAGGAACCACAAUCCGGUCCUCGAAGAACAAAGUGUCUCUGUCAUCAAUGCGAUAGCAUUUGUAUUUGGAAAGACCCUUGUUGAUACCACGUUUCACCUUCUUCACCAUGGCAUCAAGGAGUUGUGCCUCACGAAUUUGAUCUUCCAAAGUAGGAGAUACUAUGAGGUUGGCAAGAACGCCUUGAGGAACAACUUGGAGAUUCAGCUUGCGGAAAGCUUCACAAAGAUCCGGUUGGAAAGGCUUGAGAAUUAAGCUGUUGCAAUAAGCUUUCCUGCUUAAAGCAUCUGCAAUGACAUUAGCCUUGCCUGGAGUAUAUUCAAUACUCGGAUUGUACUCUUGAAUCAUUUCGACCCAUCGAGUCUUCCUGAGGUUGAGGUUGGGCUGAGUGAAGAUAUACUUGAGACUCUUGUGAUCAGUGAAAAUGUCCACUUGUCUUCCCAACAAGAGAUGUCUCCACGUAAUCAAUGCAUGGACAACUGCCGCCAACUCAAGAUCGUGAGUGGGGUAGUUCUUCUCGUUGGGCUUCAACUGCCGAGAGGUAUAGGCCACAACUUUCUUCUCUUGCAUUAACACAGCACCGAGACCUUGGAGAGAAGCAUCAGAGAAAACUUCAUACGGCUUGGAUUCAUCAGGAGGAGUCAAGACAGGAGCUGUGACUAGUUUCUCUUUGAGAGUGUUGAAAGCAACGUCACACUCAGGAGACCAGACAUACUUCACAUGCUUCUGUAGGAGGUUGGAAAGAGGCUUUACAAUUUUGGAGAAAUUCUCAACGAAUCUUCGGCAAUAGCUUGCAAGACCCAGAAAACUACGGAGCUGCUUGACAUUUUGAGGAGGUUCCCAAUCCAGAACUGCGGACACCUUCUCGGGGUUAACAGCGAUGCCUUUGGCAGAGAUGAUGUGACCAAGGAAAAGAACUUCAUCGAGCCAAAACUCACAUUUGGAGAACUUCGCAUAGAAUUGAUACUCUCUGAGCUUGUCGAGCACCAAUCGCAAAUGUUUGGCAUGAUCCUGCUUAUUCUUGGAGAAGACCAAGAUAUCAUCGAGAUACACCAGAACGAAUUCAUUGGUAUAGGGUUUGAAGAUGAAAUUCAUCAUCCGAGAGAACACCGGAGGAGCAUUGACAAGGCCGAAAGACACGACAGUAUAUUCAUAAGAACCAAAGCUUGUUCUGAAUGCUGUCUUGGGAAUAUCUUCUUCACGAAUGCGAAUCUGAUGAUAACCCAUACGAAGGUCAAGCUUCGAGAAAACUUUAGCACCCUUGAGUUGCUCAAAUAGCUCAUUGAUGUUGGGAAGUGGAUACUUGUUCUUGAUUGUCUUCUUGUUCAAUGGACGGUAGUCGACACAAAGUCGGUCCAUGCCAUCCUUCUUCUUGACAAAAAGAACACCACAACCCCAUGGAGAAGAACUCGGUCUGAUCAAACCCAGACGCUCUUGUUCAUCGAGCUGCUUCUUCAAUUCCUUCAGCUCGUUUGGUCCAAGCUUGUAUGGACGCUUGCAAACGGGUACAGUACCAGGCUCUAGUUCGAUAACGAACUCAACUGGCCGGUGCGGAGGCAUACCCGGAAGCUCUUCUGGAAAGACAUCUUGAUACUCGCAAACGACUGGAAUUUGAGAGAUGGCAUCCAAUUCGCCCUUCUCAUUGAGAGAGAAAAACCAAAUGGUUCCAUCACGAGCGGCAAAAAUAAUCACAUCCUCAGACGAGUGUGUCAAUUGAAUUUCCCUGGCAGCACAAUCAAGUUGAGCUUUGUGCUUAGAAAGCCAGUCCAUCCCGAGAAUAAGAUCAAUAUCCGAGUCACCAAGAACAAUUGGAGAAGACUGAAAUCUAUAGUCGCCCAUCUUGAUGGUAACAUUCGGAACCAUGGAACUUGCAUUCAUGCAUUUGCCCGGAGAGACCACUGCUAACGGCCUAGGCAAUCCUUGGAAAUGCAAUUCAUGCUUGGAUGCAAAAGGUCUUGAUAUGAAAGAAAGCGAUGCACCAGUAUCAAAAAGAACUUUUGCAGGAAUAUCAUUAACAGGAAGAUUACCCAUUAUCACAUCAGUAGAAUCCUCCGCUUGAGCUGCAUUCAUCAUGUUCACCUUUGCAAACUUUGGAUUAUGCUUGACCACUGCAUUGCUGGAAGAUCUGACAGGAGGAGGAGGAGGAAGACGCCUCUGGUUGAAGCACUUGUUAGCAUAGUGACCUUUCUGCUGACAUUUGUUGCAAGUCACCUCUGAGAGUGGACGGUGAUAAGGAGCAUUGGACUUUGGAGUUUGAUUCUGAGACUUGUUCUGAUAGCCAGAGUUGGAAGAGUUGGACGGACCAUGGCCACCUUUGUUCUUCUGCUGGUAAGGCUGACGAAACGGAGGAGGAGGAGGCAACCAGAACUUCUGUUGCUUAGCUGUCACAAGUGAGGAAGAAGAAGACUGAACUGCGUCUCUGACUCUCUUCUUAGAAGCCUCACACUUGAGCUGAGCAGCCUCUUGCUUCAGUGCCAUAUUGUAGAAUUGGUCAAACUGAGUAGGCUCAAUAAGAACGAGAGCUAACUGCAGAUCCUCUUUAAGGCCACCUCUGAAGUGAUAGAUCAUACUCUUCUCAUCAGGAACGUCUUGUUUAGCGAAGCGAGCAAGUUUCUGAAACUGAAUGUUGUAUUGAUACACAGACAUGUUUCCUUGCUUGAGAUUGCGGAACUCCUCACGCUUGCUCUCAACAACACUUUGUGGAAUGUGGUGCGCUUUGAAGUCCCGACAGAAGUCAGUCCAAGUGAUCACACGACCUCCUCUGGAAUCUUUGUAUUGUUGAUACCAAUCAGCAGCUUGGUCCUUGAGCUGGAAAGAAGCGAACUUGACAAAGUCCUCAGGCCUGACAUUGCUACAUUCAAAAUGCUUGUUGAUGUCCACGAGCCAAUCAUCGGCAUCCGUGGCCUCGGCACAGUAGCUGAAAGACUUGGGCUGAUUUGCGAGAAACUGGUUGAGAGUGGCGAAGUGAAACUGAUUGUUUCCUUGACCUUGAUUGCCUUGAUUGCCUUGCCCUUGAGUACGUUCUUGCAAGAGUUGCAGAAUCAUCUGAGCAUUGGCGUUGGUGGCUGCCAUGAUUGCUUGCCAUGCCUCCGGAGGUGGAGGUGGUGGCGGAGGGUUCGCUUGACUCCCUUCAUUGCGAUCCGGAUUCUGACGCGUUGGCGGAGCCAUCCUGAAGAGGGUGACAUCCGUUAGCAUCUUGAUAGAUAAAAAGAUAAGUAGAAUUAACGGACAGAAAUUGCAACAUAUAGUCUUCACAAUAAACAUUCGAACGAAGAUGAACGAAUGAAUUCCGUAGUAAAUCAUCACACUUCCAUAAGUUGAGAAGCCACUUGAAAAGAUAUGGAAUGAACAUAUGAAUUCGAAGCAAAUCGAAUACCACAAUACAAAAUAAACCAAGUAUUGGCUUGCAGAAUAAGCCGGAACAAACAUAUGAUAGAUAUUUCGUCCGAAGUUUUCGUGGUGGGGCCCACACGGGCUCAAUCGUACAGCACCAUCAUGUACAGGGCUGUGCACAUGACAUACGAAGCAUCCCCGAGUCGGCAAAGCCAUGGACUCUUUAAGACACAACGAGACCACUAUAAAAUCAACCGUAUACAGGCGGACCACUAGACGUCGAACCCCAAUCUCAUAUCAUGCGUCUGUCGGAAAGAUAUCCUAAGGCUACUUGAAUUCCCACUUAUAAACUGCCGAAACUUUCUGGUUAUGCAAUCUGGUGUAGGGGAUACAGGGGACACAAAAUAUAUAUCACCCAAACUAACAAUCCCUAGAUCCAGCUGUAUCCAUCCGUCAACACAUAACCAAGAAACCUUCGGAAAUCGUUUACCUCAACCUUCGAAAAACAUCCGUUAUACAAGUCAUGGCAAUACUCCUGAACUCCCGCCCCAGUACUGGGUGGCGUCGAGGUGAUCUCACCAACAACUGCAUAAAAGAGAUUUCGUUGUCGGCGAAACUCAGGUAAUCCAGAACUGCAACGAUAAAAUUGUGACGACAACACCUCGGAGCUCAACUCCCCGGGACACUGCCACAACCCCUAAAUGACAGGAGGCACCAAGAACAAUGUUCUCGUCACAAAUCCAUCGGAACGAUUCCAAGAUACCCGCGUGAUCCUAAAAAAAUUUUAGUGAAAUUUGAGGAGAGAAUAGUCAAAACUUCUACGUCAGGAGACCUCACCAGAGCGACGAAGGGACUGAGGAGUAAAAAGAAUCCUACUCUCCGAUAUAUAUAUAAUUCAAAGACUCAAAACAUUUUUGAUCUAGACUCAACAACGCCAGCGAUUCGAUCAAGCAGGGGGCUCCUAAGUCGGGGAUGGCUCUGAUUACCAACUUGUAACGCCCACGAUGUGGCUAUAUCUCCCACGUGUCGGGGCACGACUUAGAGGCAUAACCGCAUAGUGGUUUUGUCGCAAGAAGGGUCAUCUUCACACAAUCCCAUGUAAUGAACAAGAAUGGGAUAAGGAGUUGGCUUACAAUCGCCACUUCACACAAUACAUAAAUAUCAUUCAUACAUCAUCCAAAAAACAAUCAUUUAGACCGACUACGGUCAAAAUCCAGAUGAAAAUAAGACAACCCCAAAUGCUAGAUCCCCGAUCGUCCCAACUGGGCUCCACUACUGAUCAUCAGGAAAAGACACAUAAUAACGACCACGUUCCUCGUCGAACUCCCACUUGAGAUCGACGCCAUCGUCUGCACUGGCAUCGUCGGCACCUGCAACUGUUUUGGUAGAAUCUGUGAGUCACGGGGACUCAGCAAUCUCACACCCGCGAGAUCAAGACUAUUUAAGCUUGUAGGACAAGGAGGAGUAGAGAGGUGGAGCUGCAGCGGCAAAAGCAUAUAUGGUGGCUAACUUGCGUAAAAGAGAGCGAGAAGAGAAGCAAAGGAACGGACGUCAUCUAGCAAUGACCAAGAAGUGAUCCUGAACACCUACUUACGUCAUACAUAACACAGACCGUGUUCGCUUUCCGGACUCCGCCGAGAAGAGACCAUCACGGCUACACACGCAGUGGAUGUAUUUUAUUUGGGUCAAGUGACAAGUUAUCUACAACCGGACAUUAACAAAUUCCCAUCUGCCUCAUAACCGCGGGCACGGCUUUCGAAAGAUAAUACCCUGUAGGGGUGUCCCAACUUAGCCCAUCAUAAGCUCUCACGGUCAACGAAGGAUAAACCUUCUCCCGGAAAGACCCGAUCAGUCUCGGAAUCCCGGUUUACAAGACAUCUCGACAAUGGUAAAACAAGACCAGCAAAGCCGCCCGAAUGUGCCGACAAAUCCCGAUAGGAGCUGCACAUAUCUCGUUCUCAGGGCACACCGGAUUGUCCAAGCUUCCGAUAGGCCAGUCCAGAGUUGCCCCUGGUGGCCACCGGCGACUGACAGUUUGGACCAAUACUCAGAGGAGCACUGGCCCGGGGGUUUAAAAUAAAGAUGACCCUCGGGCUCUAGAAAACCCGGGGGAAAAAGGUAUAGGUCGCAAAUGGUAAAACCAAGGUUGGGCCUUGCUGGAGGAGUUUUAUUCAAGGCGAACUGUCAAGGGNNNNNNNNNNGUCCCAUAAAUCACCCGACCGCGUAAGGAACGCAAACUCAAGGAACAUAAUCCCGGUAUAACAGUAACUAGGGCGGCAAGAGUGGAACAAAACACCAGGCAUAAGGCCGAGCCUUCCACCCUUAACCAAAAUAUAUAGAUGCAUUAAUUAAAUAAGAGAUAUUGUGAUAUCCCAACAUAUCCAUGUUCCGACAUGGAACAAACUUCAACUUCACCUGCAACUAGCAACGCUAUAAGAGGGGCUGAGCAAAAGCGGUAACAUAGCCAAACAACGGUUUGCUAGGAGAGGAUGGUUAGAGGCUGACAUGGCUAAAAUGGGAGACAUGAUCUAGCAAGUGAUAGGUAGCGGAGCAUGGCAAUAGAGCGAACAACUAGCAUGGCAAAGAUAGAAGUGAUUUCGAGGGGUGGUCAUCUUGCCUGCAAGAUUCUCAGAGUUGUCGAAAGCUUGAUCCUCGUAAGCGUACUCGACAGGUUCCUCGUUCACGAACUCGUCUCCCAGCUCUACCCAAGACAAGAACACAAACAAACGGAACCACAAUCAACAACGAGAAAUGCGCAAGCAACAUGACGCAAAACAUGUAUGAUAUGCAAGAUAUGAUAUGCGAUGCGUAUGCGUGCUCCGGAAGGAAAAAGAUGAACAUGGCAGUAACUUGGCAAACCAAGCAUGCCACUGGAAAGAUGAGAUGAUUUCGGUCGAAAUCGAUAUAAGGAUCACCGGAAUCGGAUGCACGGUUUGCAAAUGGCAAGCAAAACAGGAAUGACACGAAUCUGCGAUUAACAGCAUGAUAGCACUCAAAAUGCAACAAGUAACAAUGCUACAGCACCCCAACAUAGCAACAAAGCACAUGUAAGUAAUCUACAGGAGAUGCUUGACAAAAGAUGAACAGUGAGCUACGGCUAGUUCACAACAUAUCAAGUUCAAACAAGCAUGGCAAAAGUGCAAAAGAUUACAGGUACACAGACUUGGUGAAAAACUGGACAUGGCAGAAAACAGCAUCAGGUAGCAAUGUUCAGAGCAUGAAAUCAACAUGCUACAGGAACUUAACAUAGCAACACAAGGCAUGGUAGUGUUUUACUAAAUGCACAUGACAAAAGUCCCUUACUGACCAUAAGCCAAAAAGGACCAGAAGAUAUGAUGGCAAGCAUGUAAACAUAGCAAGUUUCGUUAUCAGGUUUCAGACUUAGCAGAAAACAGAGCAUGGCAGGAAUAUUAAUAUGUAGGCCUCUUUGUGAGCUUGAUGCACUCCCUACAGAGCAAUGCAUGACAAACCAAGCAUACCUACAGCAAGAUGGCAUGUUUAUGAAGCUAUCCAUGGAAAGAACAAUUGCAUAGCAUAUAUGGAUCAACUACAAUAAGCUUGGCAAAAAUGCAUGUCAUGUUAAGAAUCUGCCAGAAAUAUUUUAUAGCAAAAGUAGAGCAAGAUUGAGUCAUGCUAUGGCACUCCAUAAUUGCAAACAAUUGCAGGAAUGGAUCAAUUACAACUAUAGCUACAAAACAUCCUUACUGAACAUCUCCAAAAUAUGCAUGGAUCUCUCUGUAGCAUCAAGUUUACAUGGCAACAAAAUUACAGCAGACGAGCAUCAAGUUCCUGAAAUCAGAAUUAUUACGGGGCCUACUUUGCAUGCUUGUUCUAGUCACCACAGAGAUCACAAAAAUACAUGGACUACACCACUGGAAAGAUGGCAUGGCAUACUUAAAAACACAUAUAGAGCUCAUGCUCAAAAGAUGCACAGAUUUAAUGAUACAAAAAUGACAAAUCUCCAAGUUCUGUCAAGAACCAGAGAAUAACAGCAACUAGCCCUCUUCCAACGAAGAUUUGGGCAUCAAGAUGACCUCCAAUGAACAUGGCGCAAUUGAACAAAAUGAAGAGCAUCACGAGGCGAACAAUUUGACAUAUUACACGCGCGAAUCGGAGCUACAUGCACAGAGUUAUCGCAAUACAAACAAGAGCACAUGCAGAUAAGAUUUUAUGACUGGAAAAAACGGACGCGAGGGAGAGGUCAACGGGGCUGUACCAGAUCGGAUCUCGCGAGGCUGAGCUCGAGCUCGGCCGACGCCGGCGAGGCAGGGAGAGGGGCUCCGGCGGGGAGCGCCCGGAGGAGGGCCCGGCGGCNNNNNNNNNNNNNNNNNNNNNNNNNNNNNNNNNNNNNNNNNNNNNNNNNNNNNNNNNNNNNNNNNNNNNNNNNNNNNNNNNNNNNNNNNNNNNNNNNNNNNNNNNNNNNNNNNNNNNNNNNNNNNNNNNNNNNNNNNNNNNNNNNNNNNNNNNNNNNNNNNNNNNNNNNNNNNNNNNNNNNNNNNNNNNNNNNNNNNNNNNNNNNNNNNNNNNNNNNNNNNNNNNNNNNNNNNNNNNNNNNNNNNNNNNNNNNNNNNNNNNNNNNNNNNNNNNNNNNNNNNNNNNNNNNNNNNNNNNNNNNNNNNNNNNNNNNNNNNNNNNNNNNNNNNNNNNNNNNNNNNNNNNNNNNNNNNNNNNNNNNNNNNNNNNNNNNNNNNNNNNNNNNNNNNNNNNNNNNNNNNNNNNNNNNNNNNNNNNNNNNNNNNNNNNNNNNNNNNNNNNNNNNNNNNNNNNNNNNNNNNNNNNNNNNNNNNNNNNNNNNNNNNNNNNNNNNNNNNNNNNNNNNNNNNNNNNNNNNNNCGGCGGCGCGGGUGACGUGGCGCGCUCCGGUUGGCCGGGCGCGCGGCGGACGGUGUCCGGCCGGAGCGGACGCGUCCGGCGCGGCGCGAAGGGAGAGGGUUAGGGUUUCGUCUGAGAUUUCGUUUUUCGGGAUGCCCACUUAUAAAUAGGUAGAGGGAGCUAGGAGGCUCCAAAUGAGGUGCGGUUUUCGCCCACACGAUCGUGAUCCAACGACCUAGAGCAUGGAAGAGAGUUUGGUGGGCUUUGGGCUGGUCUUGGAGGGGGUUUUUGCUGGACACUCAAAUGGACUUGGCGGAUGCCCGGUUAACCGUUGGAGUACCAAACGACCUCCGAAUGGAACGAAACUUGACCGGUAGUCUCCGGGUGGUAUAUUAAGACCACUUGACAAGCCUCGGUCCAUUUCGAGAAAGUUGACACACGCACACGAAAGAAAACAAGAGGGGUGCACCGGAGGAGAUAGGAGCGCCGGAUUGGAAAACGGACAACGGGGAAAAUGCUCGGAUGCAUGAGACGAACACGUAUGCGAAUGCAAUGCACAUGAUGACAUGAUAUGAAAAUGCAUGACAUGACAAAAUACAAAACGAAAGACAAAACCCGACAACGGGGAAAAUCAUAACACAUAGCCGGAAAUGGCAAGAGUCGGAGUUACAAAUAUGGCAACAUGCGGGGUGUUACACAGCGCCCUCAAAGGCGGCACGACGCAGCCGCCGGCCGCGGAGAGCGCCAUGGCCUCUGCAAUGCGCGCCUGGUACGCCUCCUCCUUGCGCCGCUCCUCCUUGGUCCGCGGAAAUAUCUGCCGUGUUUACACAAUCAACGUGCUCUAGCUUUUUUAUUUUUUAUUAUUUUUAGAAAAUGAUAAAGAAACAAACCCUAAGAGCAACACCAACCCGCCGACCCAAACGGACUACGCUUUUACCCGCUUUUUGUUUGUUUGGGUCGGUCUGGCGGACACCCAUAUCCGCUUUCGCGUUGGGGUCGGCGCUUGCGCCCAACACUGGCCCGAUCCAUUUUUGAGCCGGCGUGAAAAAAAAAUCCUGCAAACAUUUUAAAAAAUUGAAAACGUUAAGCCACCGAUUUCAGGUUGACAACAAAUUAGUUCCGUGGGAUGAACUCAUCAGUAGUGACGCGCUACUGAAUGAGCUGGCUCACGCAUUAAGUAGGUGCGGGGGUCCUUCCAUGACCUUUGAGAUACAAAAAGAACUUCUCAGGUUGCAUUGAAGAUGGAUGAAGCAACAAUCUAAGAGUGAAAAAUACCUAAAGGUUGCAACAGAACAUACUUUUUUCUUGACUGCCGACUGCGAGGAUGAAGACGAUAUCUUCAUGCCGAGCACCAAGGCCAAGAGUACCGCACCGUCGAAGGGCAAGAGUUCUACAUCGUCGAAGCGCAAGAGUUCAUCAUCGUCGAAGGGCAAGAGUUCUGCAUCCACGGAGGAUGACGAUGAUGACUUCAUGUCGUUUUUAUGGUGUAUGUUUUAAGUUCAGUCCUACCGUUUAAUUCAGAUGUAGUUGUAUCCAGUUGUUUGUACUGUCUUAUUGUAGGAGGAGUAUGUUAUAUAUAUCUAAAUAUGAUGUUGUAGUUGGCACACAACAUUGGAUAACAGAGUACUAAAAUAGAGUAGGCAUAUGUCUCAUGGUGGAAAUAUGCCCUAGAGGCAAUAAUAAAGUGGUUAUUAUUAUAUUUCCUUGUUCAUGAUAAUCGUUUAUUAUCCAUGCUUUAAUUGUAUUGACAGGAAACUCAAAUACAUAUGUGAAUACAUAGACAACAUGUCCCCCGUGAGUCUCUACCGGACUAGCUCGUUGAUCAAAGAUGGCCAUGGUUUCGCUAGUCAUAGACAUGAGUUGACAUUUGAUAACGGGAUCACAUCAUUAGGAGAAUGAUGUGAUGGACAAGACCCAAACUAUAAAGCAUAUGAUCGUAUCAAGUUUAUUGCUAUCGCUUUCUGCAUGUCAAGUAUCUGUUCGUAUGACCAUGAGAUCAUGCAACUCAUUGACACCGGAGGAGUACCUUGUGUGUAUCAAACGUCGCAACGUAACUGAGUGACUAUAAAGAUGCUCUACAGGUAUCUCCGAGGGUGUCUGUUGAGAUUUAAGAUACAACGGCGGCCCGGAACCUCGAGCCAGCUCUGGUGGCCGCUUAGCCGCAUCCAGGAUCGGAACGCCAUCAACACCCUCAUCUCCGACCUUCGAGCGAUGGCCUUCCGCGUGGCGCCACCACUUCCGCCGCCUCCCCCAUAGCCAGACUAGUCGUCCAAAUUUCUCCGGUGUGCCGGUGUGUCCUCAGCAUUAACCUUGGUACCUUAUGUUGUGUUUGUGUGUGCGUGUGUGGACCUCCACGUCUUGGGCGUGUUGUGAAUGAACUCGUGUGCUUGUUUGUGGCUUGGGCGGUUUGCUAUAUAUAUAAAGCGAGACGAAAGCCUUUCUCAGUAAAUUACGAGAUGAGACAGACUGUGUUGUUGGAAUUUGUAUACAGCCAAAACUGCAACAACAUCUACAGUAGUGCGCAAAGCUUGACUGUCGAUGUGUCUAACUGAAAGAAAAAAGGGCAUGAACGAGGUGAUGAAGGACGUCUCCAGAAGGGAUUGCAGUGGUUGAAGCUUGUUCAGUUUCGUCGGACUUGAAUAUCUACUCUGAAAAUGAACCACCAUAUCUGCAUCCCUCUUAUGGGCGCAAAAUGAGAUUGUGUGAACGAUAACUACAACUCGACUCAAGGACGACCAUUAAUGUACGUAUUUCCCAACACACCCUGAACUUGCUUUUACAGAUUACAAAAAUUCCUCCGCUAACCUCAUUAACUCAACUUGUAAUAAUGUACUCAGUAUUUCCCAACUCCUGAAUCGCUGUAAUGAGUACCACUACAUCCAAGUGUAAUAUCAGGACCAGUCACGCAAACGUGCCUGCUAGUUUACUCAGGUAACUGAAAUUAUCAGGGAACUCUGUGAACCAUCCCCAUUUGCUUGCAUCUGCUACACUUUACCCUACUGCGGAUCUCUUGUCCAGCAAUACCACAGCAUUUUCUAGGAAAGCAGUUACCCACAACAACUGUGGUACAGGAGGCCUUUCAUGCAAGGCUUCCUAUACACUCACUUCCCUUCGGGGAACGUAAGUAAAACACUGACCUUGUACAGCUAGGAAUCAGUAAGUUUGUGGAGGACUGAAUGACUAUAAAUUACACUUGCCCAGAUUCUUCAUAGCAAAGGAUGCAUUCCAAAGCUUGCCACAUUGUGUGACAAUUCAGUAUUCGACUAGGACAGUCUGUGCAGCUUCUACUCGCUUAAUUCGCUGCUACUCAAUGUAAAAUAUUUGGGCACCAUGCCUGUUCUAAUGAGUUCUUAUGCAACCGAUACAGAGGAGCUAACUGCAGUUCCCUCCACAUUUUCUCAUCCGGGCUUGGGACCGGCAAAGGC